rnacentral:lncRNA from 1 species
UAAUUUAUUUAGAGGCAUGUAACAUACUACCACCCGCUUCGUUCAUUUUUUUUAGAAAUGAACUCAACGGGAAAUAUGAAGUAAUUAGGCUUCAAACUUAGGACUUACCAAGUACGAAACCCUUUAUCGCUUACGCUAUAGACAAUUACUAUAUAUAUAUAGUUCAGCUACUGCUCUUAUGAGUAUAGAUUCUUUUGUACUUAUAAAUUUUCGGCCAUUACCGACCGUUCCUAAAACAAGUGGCAAAGGGCUUGAUAGUUGGUACCCGAGACCCAAAUUCGAAUCCUAGUUGAUUGACAUUUCCAGCUAAGUUUAUUUCUAAAUGAAGUAAACGAAGCAGGUAGCGUGCUACCUAUCUCUCAAAAAAAAAAAAAAAAUUCAGCCGUUAUAUCUACUCCUUUAAUCAUUUUCAUCAUUUAGAUCAUACUAUUCAACUAACCAUCCACUCAACCAUAGAAAAUCAUUAUCAUUACAUCUGGGAACUAUUAUUAUCCUAAUCACGCAUCCUUUAUCCAAGGGUCGAAAAUUUUUUAAUACAAAAAAGCCUAUACUUAUAAGAGUAUAGUAUCCCUAACACACACACACACACACACACACACACACACAUAUAUAUAUAUAUAUAUAGAGAGAGAGAGAGAGAGAGAGAGAGAGAGAGAGAGAGAGAGAGAGAGAGAGUUGAGCUGGAAUACUAUCUGGUAGCAAACGAGCUCCGUUUUCACCUAUUUAUUUUCGAUAAUAGAGCCUCCAAAUCGACGAUCAGCACGGUUGAAUAUGAUCUAUACCACUUGAAGCAUGUAGAAAUCAAUUUUUAAAUAUUUUCGACAUCAUUGACCUAAUAAUCAAAGGAUUUCAAAAUUUAUAAUUUUAUUGGUCAAUAUGAUGCGUUUUUUCGUUUAAUAGUGUAAAGAUAUCCAAAUCAAUUGAUUUUUUGUUAAAUUUUUUAAAAAAUUAUUUAGAAUAAGAUCUAUAUUUUCGAUCUUGAUUACAAGACUACUAUCAUCACUUUUUAGAAAAUAUUUAUAACGAUCUGACCUGUUAGCAAUAAUAACUUGUUGGGCACAACCACUGACCCAAAAUGCUUAAGCCCGGUUAUUAUUACUAAUGUGUUCGUUACUUAUAAACAUAUCAGACUCUCCCACAUUAUCCGAUGUGGGACUAUCGAGAUUCAUUAGGCGAUGUGAGAUUUAUCUCACACUUCCGGCUUGUUAUCAGGCUCUGAUACCAAAUAUAACGACCCGACUCGCUAGCAAUAAUAACUCGUUGGGCCCAACCACCGGCUAAAAAUGCUUAAGUCGGUUUAUUAUUAUUAGUGUGUUCGUUACUUAUAAAACUACGUACUCUCCCACAUUAUCCGAUGUGGAACUAUUGGGAUGUCACAAUAUUCAUUUUCAACCGUCAUUUUUGUGUCUAUUUGAUGGAUAAGAGAAUAAUAUCGAAAAAAAAUGAAAUUUGAUUUUUAGAUGCUUCAAGUGGUAUAUAGAAUUGAGCUCCUAUGCUUUUAAAAGUACCAAGUUAUUGGUACUUGUAAGCUUUUGGCCCUUGGAUUAAGAGAUGUGCAGUUAGGAUGAUGUGGGCCCUCUAGAGUUGAGUGGAUGGUUGGUUAAAUAGUAUAAUUUAAUAGGUAAAAAUGAUCAAAGACGUAGAUCUAACGGUAAAAAAUUUACGAGCAUCAAGUGCUUGGUGCUUUUACAAGCACCAUAGCCGGACUCUAUAUAUAUAUAUAUAUAUAUAAUUGAGCUAGAAUACUCUCAAAAGCAACAACCCCUUAGUACUUCUGAGUUUCUAGCCCUUAGAUCUACUCCUUGAUUACUAAUAACCUUUGGAUCAAACACUAUUCCACAUACCACCACCUAUCACCAUCAUCUCAAACCCUACAUCUCACUCCAUCCAUGGCUAAAAAUUCAAAAAUCACCAUACCAACCUUGGUGCCUUUUUAAGGUAAUUCUAGCUUAAUCAACACACACACACACAACUCACACACUCUCUCUCUCUCUCUCCUCUCUCUUCUCUCUCUCUCCUCUCUAUCGUCGAUAUCGUCUUCUCAUAUCUCUCUAUAAUUAUAUAUUAUAUAUAUAUAUAAAUAUAUAUAUAUAUAUAUAUAUUAUAAUAUAUAUAUAUUGACUAGAAUACUCUCAAAAGCAACAACCACCUUUAGAAACUUCUGAGUUCUAGCCCAUUAGAUCUACUCCUUGAUUACUAAUAACCUUUGGAUCAAACACUAUUCACAUACCACACCUAGUCACCAUCAUCUCAACCUACAUCUCUCCAAUCCAAUGCUGAAAUCAUAAUCCACCAACCCCUUUGUGCUUGAAGAGUAUCUAGCUAACACAUCACACACACACACACACACGCAUUCACUCUCUCUCUCUCUGGUCUCUCCGGAUCUCUCCUCCUCUCUCCCUCCCCCUUCUCUAUAUAGAUAUAUAUAUAUACCUGUAGGGCUACUAUACUCUUAUAAGUAGAAAGCCCUUCAUACUCAUAAGUUGUUUUCGAUGUUAGGGUUUUCGAAUCGACGAUCCAUAUCAUUAAAUAUGAUCUAGAGUAUUUAAAAUUUUAGAAAAUAAAUUUCGUAAUCUUUCGAAAUCAUUAUAAAGUCUAUCAAGCGGGUAUAAAAUGAACGGUCAAAAUCGAACAACAUCCUAAAAAUGGAUGAUCGAAUUCUUCAAUUUAAGAUCGGAGUUAUUGAUCUUUAUUUAAAUAGUGAAUAAAAUUUUCUAUAAAAAAUUAAACCUAUUUCGAUUCUUUUUCACCGUUAAACUAGCAAAUAUUUCAUACCGGCCAUUCAAAAUUAUCAAUUUUGUGAGGUUUUGAUCGUAAGAUAAAUGAUAUUAAAAAAUUAUAAAAUAGAAGUUUUAAAUGUUCUAGAUAAUAUUCAACGGUAUGGAUCGUCGAUUCAAAAGCUCUAUCAUCGAAAACAACUUAUGAGUACAAAAGCGAUCGUACUCAUAAGAGUAUAGUAGCCGGACUCUAUAUAUAUAUAGAAUCCAGCUACUAUCCUAUUAAUAGGAUAGAGACCAUCGUCCUAUCAAGUCGCUUUUGAUGAUAGAAAUGCUGAAUCGAUGAUCGGAAUCGUUAAAGUUGAUCUAGAGUAUUUGAAUUAUCUAGAAAUUAAAUUUCAGAAAUUUUAAAAAUCAUUUACAUGGUGAUUAAAGGAUCGUAAAAUCGAUAAUUUUUUACGGCCUAUAUGAGCCGUUUACUUGUUUAACGGUGUAAAGCAAUUCAAACUAUUUGAAUUUUUGAUAGAAAAUUUUUUAUACUAUUUAGAUAAUAUUUAAUAACUGUGAUCAUGAUUUAAGAAAGUCUAACCUCUAUUUUAAGAAGAUUAUUCAUUUAUGACCGUUCAUUUUUUCGACUAUUCGAUAGACUUGAUAAUGAUUUUUAAAAAUUACAAAAUUCGGUUUUUAAAUAUUUUUUAUAGUAUAGAUCAAUUUCAACGAUGCCGAUUAUUAAUUUGGAGUGUCGAUCAUUCAAAACGACUUGAUAGGACAAUAGUCCCAAUCCUAUUAAUAGGAUAGUAGCCACUCUCUCUCUCUCUCUCUCUCUCUCUCUCUCUCUAUAUAUAUAUAUAUAUAUAUAAUUUAACGAAAUAUUAACGAAAAAACCGAUGAAAAGAUAAAAAUGAAACCACAGGACACUAACUUGAUACACCUUAAACCACUGUGUACUAAAGUGAAAAAUUGUAAAAUCACAGGGGUGGCAUUUUAAGUUUAUCCUAAAAAAAAUAUCUAUUUAAUUAUUAUAUUAUUAUUUAAAUUUGAUUUUCUCCGUCAAUUACGUGAAUUCGUCUUUGUUGGGCAACUGGUAGGCCAAAUAAAUACAAAAUUCCUUUGAAUUUAAUCCUUUUUUUUAUUAUUUGGUUUUAAAUUCAUUUUCCACCGAUAAUCACGUGAAUAGGUCGUUGUUCGCUAGCCAAUUUGUGGGCCCUGGUUGAGCGCCACGUGUCGCCGGCCCCUCGGCGCGUUUCGUCACCCGACCUGGGACGCAAAUCCAACGGUCACGAUUCCCCCCUCGGACUUGGCCCUCGUUAUGAGAUAUUAUCCCUGCACUCCGUGUAUGAGCCCCUGUCGUACACCGUACCUAGUUUUUUAUUUUUUGAUGGUCUAUGAAUUAAAAAAUUAUUAGUUUAAAAUUUUAUUAUGUAGGCAUCAUUUUAGAAAGAGUAUUGUUUGGUUUAAUAAUUUUUUCCAAAUUAAUAAUAUUAUUUUGUUUCUAGGUACUUUUAUAUUGUGUUAAGCAUAUGUAAAAAAUUAAAUUUUGAUUUUAGAAGUAUCUGCAUGAGAUAGCUUAAUUCCAUCAUUAGUUCUGAAACUAUGAAGUGAGUGAUAUUUUGGUCUCAUACUUUAAUUUAUUAUAAUUUUUAACGUAAAUUUUUUAAAUUAUUAUAAUUUAGCCUCACAAUCGAACUAAAUUGAGUGAAUUAUAAUAUGUCAUAAAGGACGGAGCUAGAAUUCAAUUCUUAGAGAGGCCAAACUGAAUUUACUGUAAUAAUUGUAUAUUUAAAAUUAUUAAAUUAAUAAUUAGAUAUUUUUUCUAACAAAAAUUAAUUAAAAAUUUUCAAAAGAUAAAAUUAGUACCGAUAGGCAGAGCUUUUUUUGUCCAUAUAUAUUGCUGAUGUGAUUAUAUUAUUAUUAAUAAAUAUAAAAAACACAUCAGUAUUUAGCUAAAUAAAUUAAAUUAUAAAAUAUACAAUAAUUUAAAAUUUAAAAUUAAAAUUUAUAAUAAAUUAAGAUUUGAGAAUUAAAGUGUCAUAUUUCUUACAGCUUUGAGGACGAAUAAAAGUUGACCAUAUUAUAGUGUAUAAGAAGAUGUACUACUAAUACACCCGGUUCAGGAGAUAUUAUCCGCCUUGUACCGGUCCAAUGGUGACAUGAAUGUGACCGUGGACCGCCACGUGGCAGUAAAGAAAAUGACUCCGCCAUUGUUUUUCGUUUUCUCUCUCUCCAUAAUUUCCGUUUAAAGAUCGUUCAGAGCACGUGCUCUAGUUGUAUUGAAUUAACGUUUUUCAAAGGGUUAAUUACACAAUUGGUCCCCAAUUUUUACACAGUUUUUUCAAUUUGAUCUUCAGCUCUUUUUUUUUUCAGUUAAGUCCCUAAUUUCUUUAUCAUUUUAUAAUUAAGUCCCAUUCAUCAGACAUGUGUUAAAAUUAACAAAAAAAUGUUACGAAGACGCCAUGUCAGCCCCAGCUAAUUAUACAAUUUAAAUUUAAAUUUUAUAUUAUAAAUUUAAAUUAUAUAUUGAAUUAAAUUAUAAAUUCAAAGCAACAUUUUUAAUUUAAAAUUUAAAUUUUGAUUUUGGAUUUAAAUUUAAAUUCGAAUUUAAAUUUUGAUUUUGUAUUUAAUUUUAAAUCCAAAUUCACAUUUUGAAUUCUAAUUCUAAUUUAAUUUCAAACUUUGAUUUCGACUUUCAAAUUCAAAAUUGAAUUUGAAUUCAAAGUCUAAAUUAAAAUUAAAAAUUGAAAUCAAAUCUUAAAUUCAAAUUUAAAAUUUAAAAUCAAAAUUUUAAAUAUAAUUUUUACUUUAGUUUAGAUUUUAAAUUUAAAUUUUAGUUUCAAAAUUUCCAUCUUAAAUGCAAAUUGAAAUAUCGAAAUCAAAAUCAAAAUUUUAAGUUUGAAUUCAAAAUUUAGAUUCAAUUUAAAAUUUGAAUUCCACUUCGAAACUUUAAUUCAACUCUAUAUUCAAAUUCAAAAUCUAAUUUCUCGUUAGUUUAAAAUUUUAAUUUUAAUAUUAUUUUUUAAUUUAAAUUUAAAAUUUAAAAUUUUUAUUUUUGAGGACUAAAGUAAAAAACGUGUAAAGUUUGGGGACCAAAAUUAGCAUGCAAUGUCACCAAAAUUAGCAUGCAAAAGAAUGUCAAGUAGGCGCUGCCGUAAAGAUUUCAUUAAUUUUAAUAUUUUUUUAACGGCCGAGACGUAAUUGCAAUAAAAUUAAAAGAUUUGAAACUUAAUUGCAAAAAAAAAAGUUAGGGACUUAAAUAAAAAUUGACGCAGAGGUUGGGGACCAAGAGUGUAAUUAACCCUUGAAACUAAGACCGGAAUUUUAUGUUAGUUUAUUUUGGGAUCAUCUUAAAGAGAAACUUCAUUGAACUUUUCUUCGACAUGGACGUUACCGUAGACCAUUACUUCUACGCUAGUUCCGUACGUAGAAGGGAGUUUGAAUUUUGCUCCUUACGCGGUCUAAUUAGAAGCUAUGAUUUGAUAAGAUAAUAAAUUUUACUAGCCAAAUAAUUUAUUUUAUUUCAAAAUAUAACUUUAUUUAUUUAAAUAUUUAAUUAUAUGCCUCAUUUAUUAAAUAUAUAUGCUUUUUAAAUAUUUCAAAGAAGUAUACAAGAUAAGUGAAUUACAUUAAUUUUAAUUUAUUAUUUAUUUUAUUUUGUGUAAAAUCUCUAAAAAACAUAUAGUGGGCAUAUUAAAUAGAAGGGUGAUACUCAUGGAUGAAGUUAGAAAUUAAGAUUCGAAAGGGUCAUGAUUUAAAUUUGACAGGAAAAAAAUUCAAUCUCGGAUAGUAAAAAUAACCAAAAAAGAUUUUGUCUGGUUCGCUAGCCAUCUAUUACUAGUAACAAUGGUGACAAUAUACUUAAUAAGGACUAGAGAGAGAGAGGGAGAGAGAGAGGGUCGAGCAGUUCAGAAAAAAAAAUGGGAGCACAAAUUUGUUUAAAAAAAAAAAUUCAAUUCGACCUCUUCUAAAACCUAAAAUAUAUAAUGCUUUAAUUUUUAUUAUAAAAGUUAUAUGCAAUUUUUAAAGCAGAUAAAGGCCAGGGCUACUAUGAACCCCACAAUGGCUCCGUCCCUCGGAAUACUCUCUUGAUAUGGAUUUUUACGAACUCUUUUUUGUUUAUUUUAUUUUUUAACUCCAUUGCUCAUGUAUAAUUAUACUAAAUUUGGGGUGUUGAGUUUUAGAAACUAAUGAAGCCCCUUGAAAGUAGUUAGGGGGAAGAUAUACACAACUCCAUUUCUCAUGAUUGUUCUUUUGUGAAUUUCAUGAUUUUCUAUUGCAAAAGUCAAUAUUCAACUUUUGUUAAUAAAAUGCAUUAGUAGUUCCUAAUCCAAAAGCAGAUUUAAGAAGAAUUUAAUUAUAUUGGCAGCAAAAAGUCGAAUCGAUCGGCCUAAUUGGAUCUGAUUUGGGUUAACGUAUAGCCAGAAACCAAAUCGGCUGGCCUAAUCGAGUCCAAUUUGGGUUAAUGCAUGCUCACAACCAUGUGACAUGUUCAACUAAAGUUUAAGUUCGCGUCAAAUUGGACCACAGAUAUAAAGGUUAAGUUCGGUUGAGGAAGAGCAAAAGGUACAUAUAUUGAUGUCUAAUGCCAGCGAAAGUUUGGACCACCUAAAUCAAAUUAAUCAUCUUAAUAUUAUCAGUACCAAAGUAGGGUCAUAUAUUUACAGUUCAUUGUUCAAGGAAAAGAUUGGUUAACAAAUUGACCUAAUUUUAACAUAUAUGUACUAUAUAGUAUGAAAGCUAGUGCUCAGCUCAUUUGAUUUCAUUAGGGUUUCGAUAUAAUUUGCCCUAACUAUAGUUCAGUAGGUUAUAAUUACAUGUUUAUCUUUUAAUUUUACUAGGUACUCACAUAUGCUAGUGCAAAGAGGUGUACUUAAGACUCGUUUUAACUCGGCGCCUAUCAAAUAAAUAAAAUUGAUAAGUUUCCCGUCUAUUAACAAUAUCAAAUACACAUAUGUUAGUCUAAGGGAUGCAAAGGGAUCCGGCUUGGUGGAGCUCCCGCCUCGAUCCGUUCCGAAUGAGACAGUAAACAGAGAAAAUAAAUGGAUUUGGGACAGAAAACCGGAUAAUUUUUGUGAUCCGAGACGGAUUUAGGACAAAAAACGGAAGAAGUUUUAACCUACUCCGAAUCUGUCUCGCCAUGAUCCGCCUAGAAUCCGCCCCAAAAAUUAUUUAUAUUUUUAAAAACUAUUCCUAAAAAAUAAUGUAUUUACAAAAAAUUUUAAAAUACAAAAAAUUUAGUACUCUCAUUUUUCAUGUAUUUGAAAUUUUUAAAUUUUAUUUUGAAUUGUGAUUGAUAUUUUUAAUUUUUAUAAUUAAUGUUGUUAAUUAUAUAUAUAUAUAUAUAUAUAUAUUUUUUUUUUGAGAGAUAGGUAGCACGCUAUCCGCUUCGUUUAUUUCAUUUAGAAAUAAACUUAGCUGGAAAUGUAAAUCAACUAGAAUUCAAAAGUGGAACCUCGGGUACCAACCACCAAGCCAUUUGCCACUUGCUGUAGGGACAGUCAGUUAUAUAUAAUAUUAUUAAAAAUUAUUAAUUUAUAUUUUACAAAAUAUUAAUAAUAUUAUAAUUUUAUAAAAACUAUUAGUUGGUGGGACGGCUUUGGGGCGCCGGCGAAAGGCGGGUUACGAGGCGGGACGGAUUAUAGGAUACAUCUUUUAACCCGUUAUAGAUUCGGGCAGGGUAGAAUUUGCUAGCCGGAGCGGGAGAUGGAGCGAGGCUCCCGCCACCGCACCCGGAUCCGCACCGUUUGCAUCUCUAAUUAGUCUUGUAGACUUGUAGCAACAAGUCGGUUUGUUCGUCGACCCAUCAACUGUGGUCCUUAAGCUAUCAAAACACAACUUGGCUCUAGGACGAAUGCACUUCUCUCUUAAAUCAUGUCACUUCCUUACUAGAGUCAAACAAUACGAUAACUCCACAUAUCUAUCCCGUUGAAAAAUUCUAUAAUUAAUCUUGGUUGUGGAUUAUCCACUUUCCUAAUUAGAAUGCAUGUAAGCACCCUCCUCAUCAAUUUGUUCUCUCUUUUUUUUAUAUAAAUUUGAAUAUGCUAUUUAAUGUUCUCUACCAAGUAACAACUACAUGUAUAUUAGGCAAAGAAAAACUAGUGGCCUAGAGUGACUAAGCAUAAAUAUCCAGCAACAUCAAGAUUAAGUGAGAGCCACACAUUUCAUGCACUACUACUACUAUUUGUUAUGAGUUUGACCCAAAAAUGUUGCAAGUGUUGAGCCGGCUUUUUUGUUGAGGUGUUGGAGGGCACUCUUAGAUUGAUUGUAGGGAUGCAAAUGGAUCCGGGUUGGUGGAGCUCCGCCCCGAUCCGCCCUGAAUGGCCGUAAGUGGGAACAAAAAAUAUAAAAAAAUAUAACCUGUCCCGAAUCCGCCCCGAUUCGCCAAGUAAAUGAAGCGGGAGGUGGGAGACUCUUUUCUUCCUUCAAUCUGUUCCGAUCCGUCAAAAAUCCGGCUUCCGUCCCGAUCCGCCCCGAAUGGAGCGGUAAGUGGGAGCCAAAAAUAAAAUGAAAAGUAACCCGCCCCGAAUCCGCCCUGCCCCCAUAAGAAAUGGAGCGGGAGGUGGGGGAACUCUCCCGCCCCCGGAUCCGCCCCGUUUGCAUCCCUAAUUGAUUGGACUUUGCGAAUUGUUAAGUAAUUAGCAUAUAAUAAUGUCAUAAUGUCAAAGUUUUUGAUACAAUUACUUAGUUGUUGAAUCAACCAUACUUGUGUAAUUAAAGUCAAGCAUGUGGUUCAAGUUAAGCAUUUUAUUUUCCCCAUAAAUUAAUAAUGAGAAAUUAUAGCGCGGUUAGCUAAAAACUUAAUAAUUAGUAUAUGAGAUCUCAAGUUCAAAAAAAAAAAAAAAAAAUUAAUAUCACUACUUUAUCUCGUAAUCAAACACUGUUUACAAGUUGGAAUAAUAAAUAGGCCUGCUCAAAAGAGUCACAAAUGAGACAAUAAAAUUAACUACAUAUUUUAACUUUUAAUGUGACAUCCCCUUCAAAAAAUUAUAUAUAAAAAUAAAAAAUUGUGUAUAAAAGAAUAUUAAUUGAGGGUGAGUGAGAGUUGUUUGCCACGUGGAAUAAUAAUAAGAAGUAGUUAGGAGUUGACCUGCACGAUUAUUAUCACCUGGGCUCUAGCAGCACUCCUCAAUGUUUUAACAAAAAUUUAAUUAAAUUUGCCCACAAUAUUUUUUUUUUUAUUUGAAAUACGAACCAUACUAAUCGUUCUUAUAUUUUAUUUAAAAAUAAACUUAGCUGGAAAUAUAAAAUAAUUAAGAUUUCGAACUUAAUUUGGGUACCAAGUAACAAGUCCUUUGCCACUCUCGCUAACACGUGUACAAAUAAUUUUAAUGUUAAAUCUAUUUAUACUGUGUUAUAUUAGUUAAGUUAAUUCGGAUCGCAAAAAUCGUACGGUAUAAUUCGGAUAUAAAAUUAUAUUUUAAAUUUUAAAUUCUGUUGAAAAAUAUCUAAAUAAACGGAUCCCUAAUAUUCGCGGAUACGUGAUAUAACAUAUAAAUACUUUCACCAAUUAAAAAAUUCGAAUAUAAAAAUUCGUGCAAUAGUAUAAUAAGUAUAUUAAUACAUUAAUAUAAUAUAUUAUAUAUAAUUUUUAAUAUAGAAUAAAUAUUAUAUAUAAUAAUUAAACAUCAAUUAAUAAACAUAAAAUUAUAAUUUAAAAAUAUAAUAAUAAUCAUAAAUUAUAAAAAAAUUAAUAAAUUAUAUAUAUAAAAAUAAAAUAAUAUAUAUAAUAAAUGAAAAUAUAUAUUUAUAAAUAAAAAUUAUAUAUAUAUAUAUGAGAGUGAGGUCCACUGUGGACCGCCCCCUCAUGCGGUCCACGAGGCUGAAAUAGCUUCGUGGACCGCGCACCUCCAUGCUCCCAAAAGCCCCGCAUUUUUACUGUUCAACUUCCAUUUUCCCAAAACGGCAUCGGGCAAGGAGAUGGGAUCCGCUGCCGCAGCCCUUGCUCCCGACGCCGGCGAGAGCGGCGAAGGACGACGACGAUGCGAGCGGCGACAACACGAGCGGCCACGAGAGCAGCGACGACACGAGCGGCGACGACGCGACCCUCGGCCGCGAGUCCACGACCGCGAUCGCCGAUUUUUUUGGGCGAAUUAUUCGCGAAUCGCGAAUAAUGAUUUUUGAGGAAGAAAUCACGUAUUUUUUCAAAUUUUUCGAAAAAAUACGGAAAUCACCGUUUAAUUCGUAUGUAAAAAAAUCGCCGUUUAAUUCGCGUAUUAAGCGCGAAUUAACUAACUAAGGUGUGUUAUCAAUGUGAGUCAAAAAAAAUUGAAAAUUGAAAGAUCAAGUUGUAAUUGAGCUUAAAAAUCAAAAAAACAUAGCAUGAGCGAUCCCUAUAUAUUUUUUUCUCAACUUUAUUUUAUUUAAUACCGUUAGAUAAAUCUCAAUACCAAACUAAGCCCCAGAUGAAUUAGAAUUUAAGUAGAAAUUACUUUUUUUUCGUUGUUCGUUUAUUUAAUGGUGGAGUUGAAUUUUUUUCCUUUCUGUUGUUUGUUUGACAAGAAGUGCCUGAUGAAAAAAAUCGAAGAUUGAGAGAUGGCUAACAAUUUUUUUAUAUAUUUCUUUUUCUCACCUCUUUUCUCAGUAAUCAAUUUAGGACAAAAGUCAUUUAUGCUAUUUUGGUAGAUUUGAGCUUCAAUUAAAGAUAAAUUAUAAUAAACCAAACAAUAAAAAUAAAAAUAAGUUGUUGAUGCCAAAAAAAAUUAACACGCCGACCUAAUCCACACAUGAGCCAAAGAAAUAAGGACCCGUAAUACAUCAGAAGUCGGCAAUAAAGUGCCUAAAGGUCGAAAGCCUAUAUGCGGGAACGGUUGAGAUGUGGGCGUAACUUCUACGAUCAUAGUUACACCACUAACCCCACUAUUAAAAAACCGACUAAUAAUGUGGGCUGAUAUCACUAUAAAUAGUAAUUUCGAAGCCUAUAAUAGAGGUAUUUUUCUCCUCUGAACGAGAAGACCAUCGUAUUUUCAAUAUUUUACUUUUUGUAUUUAUUAUGUAAUUUUUUCUUUUCGCAUUUAUCGUUUUUCUUAGGAGUAGUACUAAAUUAGAUUUUCAGAAUCUGUAUGCCCCACGGGCACACUCUUUUGUACUAGUUUUCGACUUCGGUUUAAUAUAUAAAGACAUUCGGCUCUUCAGCGGACCAAAACACUGUGUAAUAUCUUAUUCGGCUUUUCAGCCGACCCAAAAUACUGUGUAAUAUCUUAUUCGGCUCAUUCAGCCGAAUCGAGUCUACAGCAAAAGUUUUCGAACUCAGCUGAUUUGAUUCCUCAUCAGCCGAAUCGUUUGAUCCAGUCGAAGGACGCAAACUUCGAGGGUCACUAACCGUAACCGUUCCGCAUUCCGACACGCUUUCCGAGAAAGAUCUCUGACCAAGUCAAAGAGAAAGAAAUUCGGCUCCUAACAUAAGUAUUGAGACAAAAAUAAUUUUACCCAUCUCCGCUUUCAAUGAGGCAACGAACAAAAUCAACAUUAUCUCGAUCUUUAGACACUGGUUUUUCUCCCCAAAAAAGAGAAAAAAUAAUUAAAAAAGGCCGGCGAAGAGUUCAACGAUAGAUAGAGAGCUCUGUAUACAUAGUUACGUAGUGUUAAGAAGAGGUGUACAAAAUAAAGAAGAUUCUGAAGGAAAUGUCAAAAGGAGGAACAAAAGUAAAAAUAAAAAUAAAAAAAAAAAUAAUUAAAAAUUAGAACUGUAAUUUCUAGAUUCCUCUGGAUGAAUAGAUUAGUCGGCGGAAAUCCUUCAUGUUUCAAAUUUAUUCAUUGGAGAAAUCAUAUCAAAAUUGCUUAAUAGAGAAGUCACAUAAAAAAUCAUCACCUAACAAUAACCAUCGUUCUUACUCCUUUCUGUUCCACUCUUUUUUCUUUUUUUCUCUUUCUUACUCCUUUUUUCAACCGUUUGCCGCUCUCUCGGAGGCCUAAGCUGCCUCCAACUUGUAUACUCAGUUCAUUUGACCUAAUAAAUGAAGCAGGUAGCUUGCUAUCUAUUUUCUCAAAAAAAAAAAAAAAAAAAAAAAAAAAACAAUAACCAUCGUUUUUACGAUCAAAAUCGAGCUUUAUUUGCACAUUGCAUGGACCAUAUAUCAAGUCUUAUAAUUAACUAAUGCGACAGUUUUUAACCCCUCGUAUCCUUAAUAAGAAGCUAGCUAUUUGAUUAAUGGGAUAAGAUUUUUUGCUAUUGUUUGCAAAAAUAAUAAUAAUAAUAGGAGCUAGAUUUGUAUUGAUAGAAGAUGAAGUAGUUUUAAUAAUUAGGAACUCAAUUUUUUUGGGCUUGAAUUCUCUGCUGGAAUUUGACCUCUUAGUGACACACGCUAUGUUCGACCGCGUGGCUUGUGUCGAACUUAGAUAGUCGGAACUUGGUGAAUCUUCGAAAUCGAAACUGAUGAGCUCCAAUGACCUGAGAUUUCAGGCUAAAACUCAGAAUGAAUUAUAAAAUCUACUAGUAAAGUUACUGAAGAAGUUGCUGCUCUUAACUAAUCUAAACUAUCAUAUUUUUGAUAAAAAUAUGAUAAUUAUUCUACCUUCGAAUCGUAUUUGGAUACUUGCUUUGUUGUUGUGUUGAAGAUUUUUUUUUUCUAGUACUUUGUGCAUUAUUUAUAGCCUACAUAAUCUGAAUUAGAAUCUGAAUUUUUUAAACAGGUUCGAAACUUUUUUGAAAAUUUAAUCAUAAUAAUUCGACUAAAUCCCAUCGGAUAACUGAAUUCCGAUAAUUUCGACCAAAUAUGAAACUUCGAGAUGCCUAUCUCUUAUCAAACAGCUAUGUGUACCGUAUUAAUGUGACUACACACAAAUUCAAAUCAGGGCAAAAUUAUCAUAAAGGUCCAAAAGUUUUUUUUUUAAUUUGAAAAAAAUAUUAAGCAAUUAGACUUCAAAUUUAGAAUCGUGAACGCCAACUAUCAAGUCUUUUGUAACCUGCAUUAUGGACGUUCGAGAUAAUAGGUCCAGAAGUUAAGUUGGCUCAAAGCAGAUUUGGAUUCAGAUGCGGGCAUCAAUCGCAAUACAGAUCAAUUUCCCUAAACCCAACUCGGAAUCCAAAGGUUGGUGGACUCUGCAUUAUGUUAUAGUAGCUCAAGUACUUAAGGGACCACUUAUCCAUCAACUCCAUUAACACCCCCAGUGCCUAUUUGUCUACAUCUCUGUUCUAUUUUUAGCAGCAAUCAUCUCUAGUAGAUAGUUCGGCAAAUGUAGAGUCCUAAAAUUUCUACAGCACUAGAAAAAAAAAGGCAAAACGUUCUAAUUCGAAACUUCUAUGGUGUAAAUAACGGAUAUAAUUAUUCAGUGAUAACUAAAAUAGAGAAUUGUUCCUACAUGGCUUGUAACUUCAUUAUCGAUGCAGGACAGAGAGACUUGACGUACGUACACUUAUGGAGCUUACGAACUCCGAUUAAAAUCAAAAUUUUCAUUUGGAUUCUGCUCCGUAAAAGACUACUUCUGCGUUACAUCCUCUGAAAGUUGUGACCAUCUCUUCUACAACUGUGUAUUCAUCAGAUACUUUCUUUUCAGUGAGGGAAGCUCUGACGCAUCCGACUACGGGGCAAGCAAUGUGCGAUGCCUAUGGUCAAACACUUCUAGCACCCCUGACGCUACGAGGAGAACGAAACACCUAACCAGCUUGGCGGCAAUCUGGUGGGUCAUCUGAACGGAACGUAACAAUACUAUCUUCUGCGAGUACUCACCCAAUGCUACCAGGGCGCUCGAGCGCAUAAAUAGCUUGACAAAUGACUGGACAUUCCUGCCUUGAUGUUUUUCGGGAUUGACUUGUCAUCUUUCUCUUCCUGUGCUGGGUCUUACCUAUCCUACUAGCCUUCUCUUCUUACUUCAUUUUUCACUUUCUUGCUUUUUUCAUAACUAUUUUUCUGCUUUCUUCAGGAGACCUUAGCUGUUUCCAUAAUGUAUACUUAGUUUAUUUUACUUAAUGAAUGAAGUAGAUAGCUCGCUACUUAUUUCUCAAAAAAAAUGUUCUCAACUUCUUUUGUAGGCAAAGUAUAAAUCUGAAAAACCAGAAAAAAAAAAAGAAGAAGGAAAGAAAAAAAAGCAGCACACAUGAAAUUGAAAUCUCUCUCUUGUGACAGAGGUUACAGAGACAACAGUGAGCAUCUCUUUUACAGACUUUACACAAAAGGUAAACUACCAGAGAUACUUGAAGCAAGGAGCACUCAUUGUACUCACAUUGGGUAACACUGUGUAAAAUAAAAAAUUAAAAAAAUAAUAGAAAAAAAGGUCCCCAUUACUAACUACACCCACAAUGUUACCCACAAGUCCCCACCCCUACUGUUUACAGCGUUCCUAGGGCCCAGUUGUGGGUGCACUGUGUGGGUGCAUUAGAGAAUGGUGCAGUGAGUGUGUGGGGCAUUGUAAAAUCCGUAGAUUCUUAGUGAGGCCACUUGAUUGGUUCCCUCCAAAGGAAACGUUCAUUCACUCUCAUAAGGCUACAAAAUCUAAGAGAGGUGAAUGUGCAUAGCAUAGCCUCUCCCAAUCCCAGAUUUUAGAAACUAUAAAUGCUGCAGGUAUCUCAUAAGAUACCCCAAAACUGUAGUAGUAAUCUUGUGUUAGGUUGCAUUUGAAAUUGUGGGUAGAGCUUAGAUAGAUACAAUGUUCUAUUUUGUAUGAAAAUAUCACAUUUAUUUCUGUAAGCGAUAACAUGUUGUAUAUGUAUAUCGUUUUAAUUCAUUUAUAAUAUAAUUUAUAUGGCACCGUCGGGGCAAUGUUAAUGAAUUUAUAUUUUUAUCUGUUUUUGUCUUAAUUUUAUUUUAUCUAAUAACACUUGAAUGCCCUCGAUACCAAAUGCAGACUUUUUAAUUUUAAGGGCAAUGAAUACUCAAAUGCAAAAAAAAAAGUAUAGAUAACAUGGAGAGGGUUUCUCCAUCCUUUAUUAUGGUAAAUCAAUUAAUAGGAUUUCGAAAGUAUUUUGCUGUACCGAUAGCAUAAAGUUAUAGUUUAGGCUAAGUUACACUCUCAGUCCUCAAACUAUGAGGUGCGUGACCCUUUAAUCCUAAAACUUUAAUUUAUUAUAAGCUUUAGCUUAAAUUUUUUGAAUUAUUGGGUUUAAAUUCUACAAAUUAAUUUAAUUGACUAAAUAUUAAUAUGUCGCUAAUAUGAAAAUAAUAUAGUAAUAUUGAGAUUGAAAAUCGUAACAAUAAUUAGAAUGUCACGUCAUUUUUAUAUUAGUGAUAGAUUAAUAUUUAUCCUAUAUAAAAUUUGAUUUUAACAACAAUUUAGCGUGUAAUUUAUAAAGUAAAUACCUAACUGGGUCCAGUAAAUCAUGACCGGGACCAGAAACGGUCACCGGCGCACCUGCGGUGAGCGGACCCGGCCGCAACCGCGACUCGCGUUCAAAUUUUGAACGCGAUUCGCGUCGGCGAAAGCGCGGCUCGAGCCCAAACCCGCCCCCAACACCCGCUUCGGGUUCCAGCCACUCACAGCACGCCACGUGGGAGUUAUGACGCGCCAACUCGGCCGCCGCAGCGGAAAGCGACUCGGGCCGGCCCUCCACUCCACGUCGGCUGCCCCGUUUUUACCCGGUAAAACCACUUUCCCGAAAAUGCCCUCGACGAAUCCCGAAUAUUACGCCCCUGCCCUCCGAAAGCGUCGGCUCGGCGUGGCGACCGAUGCGACCCGGACCGGACCCCCUUCCGCGUCGCUUCGCCCACACGGAAGGAACCCGGUCCCCGGUUUUUUUUUCCUUUUAUUCAUAUAUAUUUUUUCCCGGGCGUAUUUCGGUAAAUUCACAUGCCGGGGGGUGAGUCCGGGUCAAUUUUGACGCGCGAGCGGAUUCCUGUUCCGACGCUCGCGUGUAAGCUACAACACAAAAAAUAAAAGUAAAUAAAAAUUAAAAUAAAGAGGAAACUAAUGCUUAAAUAAAUCUUAAAAAUAAUUUUGUUUCUAUUUGUGUGAGAAAAUGGAUUUAAAAUAAUAGCCCGAAAAUAAUGUUUAAAUAAAUUAUUUGGUCUCAUAAUUGCGAUGUGACUACGUAAUUGCGUGGGCUCGUGAUGGUAACAUGCACCCAACAAAUGGGUGGGUAUGUUUUGAGUGAGGUUCCCUUGAUUUAAAAAUAAUUUUUUUUUUAAUAUUUAAAAGUUCAAACCGAAAUUAAGAUAAGAAAGAAUUUAAGUUCAGUUUAAUUGUGAGAACAUCCAAAGACAUGAUACAAUGUAUGUAGUAUAUGGAGCAGUUUUUUUUUUUUUCCAAAGGUGGUGAGAAACGCCAAGUUUGUUCUGAUUUUUAAGAUAUGAAAAGAAGGUAAUUAAUUAAAACCCCAAAUUAAUCCCACAUCCUUUGUAUUAUUUUUGGCUAGUGUAUCUUGGUAUUUGAUGAGGUAUUGGGUACAGCGAAGGGGAGCGUAUCAUGUAAAGAUGGUGGGAGAUACAAUACAAUUUCUCCUUCGAAGCGAAUCCUUUUACUUUUAAAAGCAGAGAGAGAGAGAGAGAGAGAGAGAGUGAAUAGAUUAAAUAAUAAGUAAAGGGAAGGGUUAAUUUCAUUUUGUAAUAAAUUAGAAAAGGGAAUUAAUAUAGUGGGGUAGUAGUAAUAGAGGAAGGGAAAGAGAGGUAUGGGGAGGUGGAACAGAGCAUUUGUUACGCCCACGGACUUUGGCAGCCAUUCAAUGCUCCACCAAACGCUCAUCCCUUCCUCCUCCUCUUCCUCCUCCUCCGCCUCUCUCUUUCCCUUCUCUUCUCCAUCCUCACCUCUUCCUCUCCCUCUUCGGCUUCUUCGUCACCCCCCUCCUCCUCCUACUCCUCCUCCCAUGGUGUACUCCUCAUCACAGGUAAGGGGCGAGAGAGAAACUCAGAGAAAAGGAAAAAAGAAGCGCUUUUUUUGAGGGAGGGAGUAAAGAGAAAGAUGGAAUCUUUCUCUCUCUCUCUCUCUCUCCUUUUUUUUUUUUUCUUCUGGGUCUGUGUUAUAUCAUAGAGAGGUUGGGUUAUUGGGUUUGCGCAGGUGGUGGAGAAGGAGACGAAUAUGGAGCUUUUGAGUUCUUGCAGGGGGGAAGUGGCUUCUUUGCAGCAGCAGCAGCAGCAGCAGCAGGGUUUUGGGGUUGCGGAGGAAGGGGGGUUCAUGGAAAGGGCGAACUUCGUGGUGGAAGGGUUCUCGGUGGACGAGCUUCUCGACCUCGGAGAAUUCGCCGAGCCCGAGCAAGACGAAGAAGAAGCAGAAGCGGAAACGGUAGAAGCGCUGGAAGCGGAAGCGGGGUGUGGGGAAACGGAGCUCCACACGGAGAGCUCCAAUUCGGGCUCUUUAAUUAACUCCUCCGUUUCCACUUCCCCUCUCCCCUUCGACCCGCCCCCACCCUCCGAUGAUUUCCUCCCGGUAAAUAUUUACAAGUAAACAAGAAGAAGAAGAAAAAGUGGCAAUUUCGCGUCAAAAAUUUUCUCCUUUUUUCUUUUCAAAGUUCAAAGUUGUAAUUUUUUUUUUGUUUGUUUUUUCUCCCACCCCUGUUUUCUUACUUUAGGAGCAUGAUGCGAAGGAGUUCGAAUGGGUUUCUUUGUUGAUGGACGACACGCUCUCGGAGAUGCCACCGCCGUGCGCGGCGGCGCCGCCUAGGCCGGCUGCAGCUGCGGCGGUGCCGAGCCCUACCGUGUGCGCGCUCGCCACGGAGGCCUUCGCCCCGGUGAAGGCCAAGCGGAGCAAGCGCUCGCGCGGCGGCGGUGGCGGCAGCGGGGGCGGCGGUGGGGCGGCGUGGUCCCUCUCCUCAAGCGGCGGCGGCGGCGGCUCCUCGUCCGCCCCCUUCUCCGACUCUUCUUCUUCGUCGUCCUCCACCACGACCUCCACCGCCACCACGACCUCGUCGUGCUCGUCCUCGCCGCCCUUAUCCUCCCUCCUCGUCUACGACCUCCCCCUCGUCGGCGCCUCCUCCGACCCGGGCCUCUUCCUCCUCCACGACUCCUCCGACUCCGACAACCCCCCUCUCCUCCCCCCUCCCCCCCGAAAGCUAAAGCUCUCGCCCCCAAACAACAACAACAUCAACAACAACAACAACAACAACAACAACAGCAAGCAGAAGCCCAAAAAGAAGCGCGGCCGCAAACCCAAACACCACCACCACAACCACCACAAGUACCAGCAGCACCAAGGGCUGCCUCCUCCUCCUCCUCCGGCCUCCCAAAUUCCCGCCGCCGGCGAGCGGCGGUGCAGCCACUGCGGCGUGCAGAAGACCCCGCAGUGGCGCGCGGGGCCCGAGGGCGCCAAGACUCUCUGCAACGCCUGCGGCGUCCGCUACAAGUCCGGCCGCCUCCUCCCCGAGUACCGCCCCGCCUGCAGCCCCACCUUCGUCUCCGACGUCCACUCCAACUCCCACCGCAAAGUCCUCGAAAUGCGCCGCAAGAAGGAGGCCGCCAUCCUCCUCCCCUCCGUCCCCGCCGCCGCCCCCCUCCCCGUCCCUUCCUUCUAAACCACCGCCUCCGAAAAAACGCCGCACCCUUCGCUCGGCAAUGUAAAUUAUGCACCAAAAACAUCUCUUUUCCUUUUCUUUUUUCUUUUUUCUUUUUUCUUUUUUUUCCUCCGCGGACUUAAUUUUUCUCGAAUUUAAUUAGAAGAGGCGGUAGGAAUUAGGAAUUUAGCCUUUGCGCCUUCUCUCUGCUUUUGUAGCGGUUUUAUUUUAGUCAUUUAUUCGUCGACCUUCAAGAGAGAAUAGAAUUAGAUUAGAUUAGAUUCGAGAGGAGUUUAACUGGUUCCAUUUUUCUCAGGGGAUAGAAGAGAGAAAGGCAAAUUUAUUAUUAUAUACAUAGAUAUAGCGUAGGCAUAAUUGGAGAUAUAUAUAUAUAUAUAUAUCUGUGUAAUGUAUAACUUUUAUGCAGUUGUGUGGGGUGUUUUUUUUUUUAAUUUUAUUUUAUUUUUGUAGUUGGUUAGUGAGAGGUAUGCGUCCAAUGAAAUUUGCACUCGGCCUCUUCUUAUUUAUUCCUGCACAUUUUCUGCCUCUUCUUCAGGUACUGGGUCUUUUUUUUUUUUUUGUCCUUGUUGCUUAGCAGGUACACUACACCUCUCUCUCUCAUCUUCUUCCUCGUGUCCUCUUAGACGCAUAAAUAUUUUAUUUAGUAUAUUUUUUUAUUUAUUUUAAAACACUUAAAUUAUUACUAGAUUAUUUAUUCUGAUUUCCAAACAGCCCCAUUGGAUAGGAGAGUUUUUUUCUUAUUAAAUAUAUGUAUAUUAAUAUAUAUUAAUAUAAAUAUUGGAAAGAAAUAGGAGGAUUAUGGUGGAUUGAUGACACAAUUUCAACCCACCUCUAACCAAUUCCCACCAAACCUAAUGUGGGGGGGUGGAGAAGAGAGGGUGAGGUGGGGUUGGAAAGGAACAUGCAUGGGUGAGUGAGUUGGGUCAUGAGUAGUGAGUCUUUCUAAUUCUAUUUCUAUUGCUCCACACUGCUUAUGAUGCUUACCCCGCGUGUCCUCCCCCAAAACCCCACACUAAUUCUAUGAUAUCUUUCUCUCACCUAACUAAUCAUUUUUCCCACCACCUCCUUCCUCUCUCUCUCUCCCCCUCCCUCUUACCAUGUUCUUAAUAAUCUUACAAUUUUUUAUUCCAAUGCAUGGAAAAUUAAUCUUGUCAUAGCAUAAAAUAAUCGAAUUAUGGCCAUUUAUUUUGAUAAUAUUAAUUUCUUUCUAAUAACAGAAGAUUGAGUAAGAGAGAUUUGGAACUGUAUUGGCCUUGAUUUGAGUAAUAAAUAUGCAAGUUAUCCAAUUUAUUAUAUUAGGCCAAUGCAAUCAUGCCAAAUAUAAUAAAAAACUACUCUAAAUUAUUUUUAUUUGGACGGUGUUAUUUUAAUAUAAAAAAAAUCUAAGUUAUAGAAAAUACUUUCUCCUUAUCCGCGUCCUAAAUUGAUAAGAAUAUAUAUAUAUAUAUAUAUAUAUAUAUAUACAGAAGCAACCAAACCUCUUACAAGCCCUCACGUGCCCUGUGGGGACCACCUGUACUCACGUGACUGUCCUAUUUCAAAUAUUGGACACCAAACGCCUUUCCCUCCUCUUUCUUAUUUUAAUUGCUAAAUAAUGCGCGUCCGUCUUAAAAAAAUUAGCAUACUUUUAUUACUUUAGGAAACGCAAAAGUGCGGCUUAAUCUCACAACAGUAAUCAUGGAACAAAAUUGCCCGCCAAAUAAAAUGCACGAAUUUUGAAGUAAUACAGUAUGCGAUAUUCGCGUGUGUCAUUUGAAAGAUUAGCGACGUAACGCCGUAAUCAUUAGUUAGCACUGGGAAUUUUUAGGGAGGAGUGCUCUUCUUUUUUUUUUUUUUUCCUAACACAAGAGCAAUGCUAUUGCAGGAUUGAUAUGUAAAUGGCCGAAAGAUGUGUACGGCGUGGUGAUGGUGCUUCCUCCACCCCCUCUCUUCUUCUUCCUUUUUAUUUGCUUUUUGACUCCUUUCCCACAAACUCAGAAGAGAUCAAGUUUGUGUUAUUGCUAAUUAAAGUGAUUCUUUGUGUACAUGAUCAAGUGGAGUUUCUGUGGAAAGCGCUUGUCGCAACGUAGUUUGUUGCUUGAAGAAUGUGAAUAGUCUCGCGUAUAAUUUAAUAGAUAGCCUUUGUGGAACUUAGAAGCUAAGUGUGAUCGGAGCUAUCGGCGGAAUUCCAGAUGUUGUUAAACUCGAUCGGAUGGCUUCUGGCCUGUCGCUUAUGCUUCUUCUGUGAGUUGUUCGAAAUGCUAUUCUUCGGUUCAAAUAGCUUUUUUCGUCUGAAAGGUAGCUAAAGAUGCUGAUGUCGAUAGAUAUAUUUGUACUGGAGAUAGAAUAAGAAACUAGUAUGAAAAAGAAAGACGAUGAUGUUGAGUUCUUAGUAAAAACGUAUAAAAAUACAGAAGCUUUAGUCGGUCCAUAAUAGAGAAUAAAAAGGCACAUAAUGUUCUAUGGAGUGCAUUUGUACACAAUUUAUUGGCUGAUAUGCUACUUGUGGGUUGCUUACAAAUUACACUAGGGCCAUUAGGGAAGCAAAUAGAUCUCGGUUGAUGAAACUUCUGCUCCAAUUCGUUCGGAAUGGACAGUGAAUGGAGUCGAAAAAUAAGGAAAGCAUAUUAAUUCGUAUCAAAUACAUCUCGAACUGCUAAAAAAAGAGAGUGGAAGACGAGGUUCUUUUUUUUUUUUUUUUCUUGAUCUGAUUUGAUCCACUUCAAAUGAAGCGAUAAAGGUGCAUUUGUUUCACUAAAAAGUGGAGGGUAGUGAAGUGGUUUUCAACCGUAAGUAUCUACUUUAAUUGUUUGGUUCAUCACAACUUUAUAUACAGUUGAAACUCAAACUCUCUCAAAUACUAAAAUUAAUUUCACCCUAUUUUUGGUGAAAGUCAAUUGUGAAAAAAUAGUAUAAAAAAUAAUAAAAUAUUAACAUUUGGAAACUUCAGCUUUUACGCUAAUUACUUCCUGUCAAACAAACAGUAAAAAUGAAAGAAUUUCAAUUCCGCAGUUACAAAAAUCAACAAAAAAAAAUUAGUAAUUUUUUUUUUUCAAAUUUCUAGUUCAUCUGAAAUUUUAUUUCAACCUAUGCAUUGUGAAACAACCAUUAUACUCUAAAAGUUUAAGCUGUUAGAGAACAGUGUUUAAACAUUUUUAUAUUUAACACUCCCCCUCACGUCUGGACACGUCUGGACUCGAGAUUUUUUAGUCGGCCCAUGACGUGGGCUUGUAUUAAAUGGGAGAAAAUUAAUAUGCUAGGAGUCUGAUAUGACUCGAACUUAGGAUCUCCUGCUCUGAUACCAUGUGAAACAAUCGUUGUACUUAAAAAACGAUGUUUAAACAUUUUUAUAUUUAACACGCAUCUUCUUUAUAAGUAAAAUAAACAAAUCUUAAAGAGGGACAAAAAGUAAAAUAAAAAUCACUCCGUUUCAAAUCUGACCCGACCCACCAAGAGAACCGAGUGGGUGGUGCAAGACCCCUCCCGCCUCCGGACCCACCCUAUUUGCGUCGGCCUAAUCACAUCUUGCUUGUGUUUUUUUUAAAAAAAAUCUCUUGCUUUGGGUUAAGUGAGUGAUUUGGAUGCGAGAGAGAGAGAGAGAGAGAGAGAGAGAGAGAGAGGCGUGGGUGGUUGGGAUCUUCUUUUCGGGUGCGCACCCACCGCACCGCAGCGGACGCUGAAUGACGGGGCGAGGCAAAAGAGGACGCACCCACUCCCAUCCCACUCCCACCCCUCCCACGUGACUCUCUCCCAACCCAAAAAUUAAAUAAUAAUAAUAAUAAUUACGAGGAAAACGUCUCAUCAAAAAAUUUCAAAUCAUCCUCACAUAUUAAUUGAAAUAUUUUUAAAAUUUAAAAUUUUUAAUUUUAAUUUUAAAAAUUAUUUAAUAAAUUAGAGAUUUCUAACGAGACGUCGAUGAAAAGCUCACGCUGCAGUUUUAUCGGUGGGAAUCCAUCCUUUUUACAGGUUUUUUUUUUUUUUUUUUUUUUUUUUUUUUUUUUUUUUUUUUUUGGGGUAGGGUAACCAAUUAAUUCCUCGCCUCAAGUCCCACACGCUCCUGAGCCUCUCGUGAUUGUAAUUAAUUCGUUUUGGCUCCAAUACCAGUACUUCUUAGAAGCAGAGGUAAAAAGCACUUAAGUUUUGUGUGUGUGUGUGUGUGGGCGCGAAUCCAUUAUCAUUGCUUUUAGAAUCUGUUUACGUACGUUGAAAUUUUAUUACAGGGUCACUGUACAAUAUGGUACAUGUUCAAUAUGCUACAUGUUCGGUUAAUUUUCUACAUUUUGAUACAAACAAAUUCACCCACCGUUUCUAAUACAAGUGGCAAAAUAUUUAAUGGUUGGCAUCUAAAAUUUCUAGUUUAAAGUUUAGUUGAUUCAUAUUUUCUGCUAAGUUUAUUUUCAAAAGAAAUAAGUAAAACGGAUAAUAUGCUACUUUUUUUUCUAAAAAAAAAAACAAAUUUAAAGGUUCGAAGGCCAACAUGAUGGAUUUUUAUAGGUACGUAAAACAAAAAUAAAAUUAAAUACGUAUCAAAAUUCAGGAUCAUAAACAAAACUAAAAUAAAUCACAGAGCACCAUAGAGAAGAAAUUACUGAUUAAUUUGUGGAAGCGUGAAGUUUGGCUAUAAUCUUGAACGUCACCAACUGAAUUUGGUGUGAAACUGAUAGUAAUUCUUCAUUAUAAUAUUUAUGAAAAAAUGGCAGGACCAAUAUCAUUUUAUAUAGAGUUUAGAUCGACUUUCUAUCAAAAUUUGAUUAAAAUUUUAUUUAAUUUAAAUAGAUGAGAAAGAGAUAAGAUACACUAUAAAAUGUAAUUUUAUAUCUAUUAGGAUUAAUUUUUAUUUAUAAGAAAUAUAAAUUUAAAUAUGAUUAACUGGAUCAUAUUUAUAAAAAAAUUCUAAUACGACAAAUAUACAAUAUUUUUGAGAUAUUUUUGUUGCUACCAUACUUCAAAAUAAUAUGGAUCGUAACAUCACUUUGUAAAUGUAAAUACUAUUUUUUAUAAAACAACAACAGCAACAAAAAUCUCAAUAACAUAAAAUUAUAUAGCAUCCAAGUAGGCCCUUAUAUUUUGAAAGAUCAAAAAAAAAAAAAAAAAAAGAAGAAGCUUCUUUGGUUCUUCACUCGGCGCUAUCGUAACCGUGAAUAUAAAAGAUUGAAAAAACAAUCCAUUAAUUUAAGCUUUUAUACUAGUACUUAGAUAUUUUCUAAUAGAGUUGGUAGUGUGCUGAGUUCAAAUUUCGCAAAAUAUUUCAUACUUCGCCGGCGUACUUUUUAAACCUAUCAAAAUAUCUAGAGUCUUAGGGGUGGCAAUUCAACUCGCUGUUCGCGAGCCAACUCGUGUUUGAUUCAAAAUUAGCUCGAGAUUAAAUUGCUUGUUUAGUAAACGAGUCAAAUACGAGCUGAAUUUUUCAGCUCGUUUAAUAAACGAGCCGAAUACAAGCGGGCGCUAGUUCGCUCGUGUUUGACUCGAUAACAGCUUGAAGACAUAUAUAUAUAAUUUGAUUUUUAGCAAAAUCAAAAUAUAAAGACCAACUUAAUCAUAAAAAGAUUUAUUUAUAAACAAAGUUUCAACCAUUAAAUCAAAAUCUAAUGAAUAAGAUUUUAUAAAUUUAUUUUUCAUAUAUAUCAAAUCUAAUUCUUUUAACUUAUUGUUUAUUGGCCAGUUCGUGAGUCGGCUCAUGUUCAACUUAUUUAUUAACGAGCCGAACACGAUCUGAAUUUUUCAGCUCAAUACUUUAACGAAUUAGCUCGUGUUUGGCUCAUUUAAUAAACGAACCAAACACGAGCCAGCCCCAACUCGUUCGUGUUGAGCUCAUUGACACUCCUAGUAUGAGAUAUAGUGUUAAAUUCAACGUCGUCUAUUAUCUGAAAUUUUUACAAUAAUUAUUUAUGUUUACAUAAAGAUUAAAUAAUUAAUACCUGAAGUCCCAAAUUUGAAAUCUAGAAAUUUCAUAUUUCUAUUUUCUUUGCUUGACUUAUCAAUUUUUUUUUUCUGAAAUCCUAUAAAUCUAGAAAAAGUGGGUGUAAGACUUACCUGACUCUUUUGGUCAUGUGCAUGGCAUGUGCCCAAAAGCUUAGUACGGAUUUAUGUAAAAUUGCGAAAAAAUUAUAUUACGUACAGUAAAAAAAAAUACGAUAAAAAAAUAUUUUUAUUUUAGUCUAUAAUAUUAUAUUUAGUGUAUCACAAAAAUUUAUAUAUUUUUUAUGUUCUCAUGUACCAAAAGAUUUUUUUUUAGAGAGAAAGGUAGCAUGACACUUGCGCUAGGGACGGUCGGUCUCAUGUACCAAAAGUUAUGAAAGAAAUAUUUUGGUAAACUUCAAAUACUAUUCAUGUAGUUUCGCACUUUUUUAUUUUAUUAUCCUAUGUUUUAAAGUGUACUAAUUUACUGCCCUAUGGUUUUAUUUUUUUUUCUUUUCGUUAGCUUAUUCGUUAAUAUUUCGUUAAAUUAUAUAAACAAAAAAACCCUUAGAUUUAUCGAAUAUUUAAUUUAGUAUCCUUUAGUUUUAAUUUUAUUACUGAUUAAAAAAAAAUUAGUAAAAUUGAUAAGAAAAAAAAAUAAAACUACAGAAUAUUAAAUUAAUACNAUAUAUAUAUAUAUAUAAAAUUUGAUUUUUAGCAAAAUUAAAAUAUAAAGCCCAACUUAAUCAUAAAAAGAUUUAUUAUAUACAAAGUUUCAACCAUUAAAUCAAAAUCUAAUGGAUAAGAUUUUAUAAAUUUAUUUUUCAUAUAUAUCAAAUCUAAUUUUUUUAACUUGUUGUUCAUUGGCCAGUUCGUGAGUCGGCUCAUAUUCAACUUGUUUAUUAACGAGCCGAACACGAACUGAAUUUUUCAGCUCAAUACUUUAACGAGCUAGCUCGUGUUUGGCUCAUUUAAUAAACGAACCAAACACGAACCGGCUCCAACUCGUUCGUGUUGAGCUCAUUGACACUCCUAGUAUGAGAUAUAGUGUUAAAUUCAACGCCGUCUAUUAUCUGAAAUUUUUACAAUAAUUAUUUAUGUUUACAUAAAGGUUAAAUAAUUAAUACCUAAAGUCCCAAAUUUGAAAUCUAGAAAUUUCAUAUUCCUAUUUUCUUUACUUGACUUACCAAUUUUUUUUUUUCUGAAAUCCUAUAAAUCUAGAAAAAGUGGGUGUAAGACUUACCUGACUCUUUUGGUCAUGUGCAUGGCAUGUGCCCAAAAGCUUAGUACGGAUUUAUGUAAAAUUGCGAAAAAAUUAUAUUACGUACAGUAAAAAAAAAUAUGAUCAAAAAAUAUUUUUAUUUUAGUCUAUAAUAUUAUAUUCAGUGUAUCACAAAAAUUUAUAUAUUUUUUAUAUUCUCAUGUACCAAAAGAUUUUUUUUUUGAGAGAGAAAGGUAGCAUGAAACUUGAGCUAGGGACGGUCGGUCUUAUGUACCAAAAGUUAUGAAAGAAAUGUUUUGGUAAACUUCAAAUACUAUUCCUGUAGUUUCGCACUUUUUUAUUUUAUUAUCCUAUGAUUUAAAGUGUACUAAUUUAGUGCCCUAUGGUUUCAUUUUUUUUUCUUUUUGUUAGCUUAUUCGUUAAUAUUUCGUUAAAUUAUAUAAACAAAAAAACCUUAGAUUUAUCGAAUAUUUAAUUUAAUAUCCUUUAGUUUUAAUUUUAUUAUUGAUUAAAAAAAUUAGUAAAAUUGAUAAGAAAAAAAAAAUAAAACUACAGAAUAUUAAAUUAAUACAUUUUAAAUUAUAUAAUACUAAAAUGAAAAAAAAAAAUGUGAAAUCAUAAAAGUUGUAUUUGAACAUUUUUUAAAAUUUUUAUAUACUUUCCUUUGAACACUAUUUUUUAUAUUAGCAUUAAAAAAAAAAAAACUUCAAAUACCCCCUUGUGGUUUCACUCUUUCUCACUUUAGUACCAUGUAGUUUAAAGUGUAUCAAGUUAGUACCAUGUAGUUAUGCACCUUUUCACUUUAGUAUUCUGUGGUUUAAAAUGUACCCUUUGGUUUCGCAUUUUCUCACUUUAGUACCCUGUGGUUUCGCACUUUCUCACUUUAGUAACCACAGUAACUACAGGGUACUAAUUUGAUAUAAAAAUAAAAUUAUAUGGUACUAACUUGAUAUAUUUUAAACUAUAUAAUACUAAAAUAAAAAAAUAUAAAAUCACAAGAAGAGUUUUUGAAGUUUUUCCUUAAAAACAGUCUCCAUACCAGAUGGGAGGAAAAAUGAUAAAUGAGAAUCCCACGCAAAGGUCACGUGAAUUACUGGUGCUUAAUUUGUACUAUCGUACUUGGUCCAAAUUAAUUAAAAACUACGACUUACACAUUGUGCCAUACUACUCGGCCUAACCUCUUUGACAAUGUACGAACAUAAUUUUAUUUGUCAUAUACAGUAGGAUAAAUUAUAUGUUUUGUUCUCAAAUUAAAAAAUAAAGGCUAAAUUACAUAAAAUUUUUCUAUCAAAAUUUAAUUUUUCACUUUUCAUCCCUGUCAUUUAAAAACCUAUACUUUACCCUUUUGUAAAAUAAAAAAUAUUCACAGGGGGUACAGUGUGUAAAAUGAUCAUUUUAUCUCUUACCAUUUUCGUCUCCUCCAUUAUCUUACUCAACCGCCGCCUCGAUCGGUCGCGAUUCACACCUCGAUCGGCCGUGAUUUCUCUCCAUUUUCUUUUCCGCCUACUCCCCUUCUCCUCCUGCACCCUCGCCGUCCCUCGAUUUCGGUGACAGUAGGAAGGAAAUCGAGGUGAGCGUUGAUGGAGAGAUAGGCGAGGGCAACGAGGGCUAAGGCGAGGCGGCGGAGGAGGGCAAAGGGGAUGUGGACGAUGGCGAGGCAGUGGAGGAGGGCGAGGCGGCGAGGCGGCAACCCGGAAGGAGGCGAAGCAAUAGGGAAGAGGACGGAAGGGUAUUUUUAACAUAAAAAAAAAAAUUCUAAUGGAACCCUAACGGUAAGGGAUGAAAGUGCACAUUUUUCAUUUUAUAAGGGAGCAAAGUAUAGGUUUUUAAAUGACAGGGGGGAAAGUGAAAAAUCAGAUUUUGACGGGAGAAUUUUUUAUAAUUUAGGCAAAAAUAAAUGAUAUUUUAGUUCUUAAAUUUUAUUUUUAAUUCAAAAUUUUAAAAUUAUUACAAUCAAAUCCUGCAAUUUAAUUUAACUAACUAAAUUUUAACAUAUCUCUAAAAAUAAUAUAAUAUUUUAAUUAUUGACACAUUAUCAAUUACGACAUUAAUUGCUAUAUUAUACCUAUAUUUGUAAUAUAUUAUUAAUAUUUUAUCAACUAAAUUGACUUAUAAAAUUUAAUUAUAAUAAUUUUAAAAGUUUAAAUAGAAAAUUAUAAUAAUAAAUUAAAAUUUAAGGACAAAAAUAUUCUCAGAUUACACGCAUACUCACUUCAUGUGCUGAUAAAUUAUUUAACGAGUGUACAAACUAAUGGACGAGGAGCUGUGAACAAACCGCGUCCUUAAUAAGAAAAAAAGAUAAUAUUUAAUAUAUUUUUUAAAAGAUUAAAAAUAUUUAAUAUAUUUCUGGUUGACCAAAUAUUCUUAUUGAUUUUUAAAAAAAAUUUCAAAUAUUUAAAAUUUUUUCAAAUUUACUAAUAAGUUUUGAAUUUAAAAGAAUAUUUUGAUAAUUUUAUAAUAAAUUUAAAAAUUUUGAAUAGCGGUAAAAAAAAUAAAUAAGCAAGGUUUCAAAAAAAGUGUAUAUGAAUAUACAUUUUGAAAAUUUCAAAAUAAAAAGAUAAAAAAAAAAAAAGUGCGCGUGUACGCGCCCAUCGAUCGUUUUCCAACCGGGUCAAAGGGUGGCCCAUGGUGCGUGUCCACAAUGGCAAUUGUUACGUCUCCGUGGGUCCCACAAGUAAACGGACCUCUUAUAAUUUUCCCUUUUUUUUUAUUUUCAAAAUCUAGGAUUUGUGGUCCUAAGAUUAUGCAUAGCUACUGAUUAUUGCUACAAUCACGGACCAUCCUAUUAUUUGAAAAAAUUAUUGCUCGCGCCAUAUAACAUACAUACAUACAUACAUACAUUUAAUACACCGUAUUCUAAAUCUUUACCAUAAAUAAUAAAAUUUAAACAUGUAUGCAUUGCAAAUACAAUAAUAUUUUCUUUUAUAUUGUUUAUUUUAGGAUAAUUUGAUAUGUGAAUAAUAGAAUUUGAAAAUUGUUAGAUGACACAAACAGAUCAUAUUUAUCGAAUUAGAUUUUAAUAUUAAAAUAUUUAGUACCCGAUAUUGAGCUCGUGGUGCGUGAGUUGUACAGUUACACCAAGUGUAGGCAAUAAUUUCUUGCUGCUGUUAACCGCCCCAUCAGCGUGGACCACGUGUGCGCUCAUAUCUUUGUCCCGUGAAAAGGAUAAGGACUCCACAAAUUAUAUUUUUUAUAUGUGGUUAAAAAUUUAGAAAUUGGAAUACAAAUAUUUUCGAAGGUGAUAUAUUGGUUCUUAAAUUUUAAUUUAUUAUAAUUUUUCGUUUUAAAUUUUUAGAUUUUUACAAUUAAAUAUCACAGUAUAAUUUAAUUGGUUGAAUGGUGGUGUAUUGCUGAAGCAAUAGUAAUAUGACAUUUUAGCUAUUGUCAUCUCAUCAAUCACUAUACUGCUACAUAACUGCCGCAACAGCAACACGUAAUCGUUCAAUCAAUUAAAUUAUACUAUGAUUCAAUUACAAUAAUCUAAAAAUAAAUAAAUAAUAAAUUAUAAUAAAUUAAAAUUUGAAUAUCAAAAGUAUAAUUCAGCGGAUAAGUAAUUAUGUAUACAAAAGAUUCAGAGAUUCUUAUAUAUUGUUUUGACUCUACGGUUUCAAAGACCUUUUUUUUCAUGUUUUUUUUUUUGUUUUGUGGAAAAUUGUAUGUGAGAAAUGGCAUCGGUGCAAGUGUAACAGAAAGAGGGAGAAAAAUGAUGAGAACGGGACACUCCUGCCGGCUGGAAUGUCAUGCGUAAUCGGGGCGUAGCUUUCUGCAGUCGGUUUCCCUGAUGUCAACCUCUACAGCUGUUGUGUUGAAGGCAGUCAGUAUUUCAAAUUGGAAAGGCUUUACACAUGCAUCAAGGAAUUUUUUUAACUUUGUUUGGGUUUACUUCCACUACCUUUCUCCAAUCUUUACGUGUAUACAUAAUUAUUAUUUUUUAUUUUUUCUUUUUUUUUUUAGAGAAAGGUAGCACGCUACUUACUUUGCUUCAUUCAUUAGGCAAAUAAAUUUGGCUACAAAAGGUGAGGCAGCUAGGACCUCAAAGAGUGACAAAAUUAAAGACAGAGAAACUCUAAAAAUGUCUGAAAAGAGCUAAAAAGAGCACAAAGUCAAACAAAUAAACGGCCUCACCCACGUCUAUAAAAAUCGGUCCACUCCUUUGCCAGUACACUAAUACGAUGUGCCAUAGAGGUAGCGAAAAUCUAUUCUCAUCAAUUUUUAUUAUUAUUUUUUCCCUUGUUAUUAGAUUCCAAUUGGUAAAUUUUGAUAGAAUCAACUGUAUCCACUCUAGUAAAUUAAGUUUUGUCUCCUUAUACAGACUACGAUUAUACUAUGAAAACUUAAGUAUUUGAAGAGUUUGAUUGCAUGUCCAACUCGAUGUCAAGACUUUUGGAUGCUCCAAAGAAGUCGAUAUAUAGGCAUAGAAUUUUGAGAGUGGUGAGAUUGGACAAGCAAUGGACACACAUAUGGGAGGAGAGGUUAGGAAUCGCAGUUCAAAAAAUGGGUAAAGGGACCGAUCGUCUUUAGCGCAAGUGGCAAAAGGCUUGGUAGUUGGUACCUGAGGCCCCAAGUUCGAAAUCCAGUUAAUUCACAUUUUCAGUUAAGUUUAUUUCUUAAUGAAAUAAACGAAGCGGGUAGCAUACUAUCUAUUUUUCUCUCUCUCUCAAAAAAAAAGGGUAAAGGUAAUUAAGGAGGUAUAGUGCAAUUAAUCCUAAAGAUUACUAAACUAAAACAAAAAAGCAGAAAAAAGAAAGAAAGAAAGAAAAGGAAUUGGAGACCAAAAUGAAAAAUCGGAUAAAUGUUAUGAACCAGCCAUCACUAUCUAGAAUGGUUAAUUAGCAUUAUGUUUACCGAAAAAACAAGAACGGAUUCAAAGUCUAUUUUAUACAAUUAAUGUCAAAAGAAUUAUUCAGCGAUAGCUUGGAUAUUAUAAACAUUUAUUUUAUGUGAUUACAAGCUAGUUGUUUAAUUUUACCUCCUUCGAAUAUCUUUCUACUCAUCAUUUGGACGGAACAGGUAGAAUAAUAUAAUUUUACUAAGAGAUAAUUUAAUUACUUUAUUUUGAAAAACUAAUUUAAAGACCAGAUAUGGUAUAUUUUUCGGGCAUUUGAUUAUGGUCAUUUUCUGCCAAGUACUAUGAAUUUUUUAAAUAAAUUAAAGAGAGAUACUGAGCAAAAUAUUUUAUGCCCUCAAGCAAGAUCUGCAUAAACCAAUGUAUGCAUGUUUGUGCCAUCAUAAAAGAGAGAGAAAGAAAAAGAGAAGGUAUUAGAUAAAUAUAUGAAAAAAUCUUCAGAUCAUGGAUGGGAGAACUCCUAAUAAUUUUUCAUCCACUUCCAUACACUUUCACAUCGACUUCUUAGUUUAAAAAUUAAAAAAAGGCUAGCUAAAAUACAUUUUAUCGUGUUUAAUAUAUUACGUGUUACAUUUAAUCUCUUGAAUUUUAGUUCUGUACUUAACUUUUUGAAAACUUACAUAGUUAGCUUCCUAAAGGAAAACAAAUAUAUAAUUCAUUCUCUUGAGGGGACAAAAAAAUGGAGAUAUAUAUAUUUGGUCAUUUCUCACUUUUUUUAAAAAAUACUAUAAUCUGAAAAGAUAUUUUAGGCUCUAGUCUAUAUGAAAUACAGUUUGUUCUCAUGAUGGCCAAAUACACAAUACAACCAUCCAUAAAAUAGAGGAGAAAAGUUAUGAACUAGAGCUUCUUGCUUUCCUGCAUAACAUUUUGCCAUAAUUGAGCAAAUCUCCAGAGAUUUGUUAAAGUAUACUAUUUAUCAUGCUCAAAAUUGAAAAAAAAAAAAGAAGAAGUAAAAAACAAAAAAGAGAUGAUGAUGAUGAUGAUAAGGCAACUAGAGUUGAUAACAUCACUAUUUAACCUUAUAAUAAUUAGGCUUAAAUUCAAAGAAAUGUCUAUAAAACAGGAUGAGAUAUUUACUCAAAAUAGAUGCUAGUAAUUUCUCCAUCAAGUUAGAAAUGACUUUCCCAAACUGAAGGAUUUUUUGGACCAGAAAAAAAAAAAAAUUUUAAGGCCACACACCAUCAACUAUGGCAGGAUUGGUGCACUACUGUGAUGUAUAUAUAGCACAUACUGUUGUUACAUGACCUUUUGAAACAAAACCAAACAGUAAAAUGUGGGCAAUUCUUAAAAAAUCAAACAAACAACUAUUCUAGUUAAUUACAAUGAGACAAAUUUCGUGAAAUAUCUAGUGAGGAAAAGAAGACUCGUCAAAGCAAGUGUCGACUCGAUUGGAGCACGAAUAAUUAAAAAGGAUUCGUAAAAACUAUGAGGAGUAAUUAGAACUUAAUUUAAAUGGCCAAGGGUGUUUGGUCUAGUGGUAUGAUUCUCGCUUCGGGUGCGAGAGGUCGCGAGUUCGAUUCUCGCAACACCCCCUUUAAAUUCAUUUUUUUAUUUUAUAUAAAUUUUUAUUUUGAUAAACUCUGGUUUUGAGUCCCAACACAUGCAGAGUUUUGAGUCCAACACAUAAACGAUGAUUCAAAAGUUGUUAAAAAGCGAUAAGGUUUUUUUUUGUUCCCGUAGAGCCAAAGCAAUCUUUUUCACGUGCAGUUUAUGAUUGGAGAGAGCUUCUCCACAAAGCUAAAGCUCACGGCUACACAGGUCUAUAAGCGCUUUUUCGUUGGCUAUAAUGCAGGGACAAGUGUAAGUGACCUGCAGAGUACUUUCCAUUUCCAAUACGUGGAAGGAAAAGCCUAAUUAUGCUCCCACACAAUGCAAGAUCCACAUCAUUAUGUUCUUAUUAUAUAUAAGCUAAAUAGUCUCAAUUCACCGAAGAAAUGAAGAAUACAAUAAGUUAUCCUUUGAUAGUUUAAAUUUUUAGAUUAAUUUCCUUUCUUUCAAAUCCCAAUCCAUAUUUGAUGAAAUAUAGAGUAAUUAAAACACCGUUUUUUAUCAGAUUAAACCAAUUCGCAGCGCUCGGAGGCUACAGCUUUGAUACUCUAAGGCCUAGUUUGGUUGGGGGGAUAAGCGGAGAUAACGAAAGUUAUCCCCGCUAUUCCGCCAAACGGGAUAAAAAUUGGUCGGGAUAUUUUAUCCCAGUCAAACCUUGUUAUUCCCGGUUAUCCCAGGAUAGCAAGGAAUUUGUUAUUCCACCAUUUUUGUGGAAUAGUACUAUUCCAAUGCUUAAUUUCAAACUUAAUUAAAAUUAUAAAUUGAAUUAAAACUAAAGUAUAUAAAUAUAAUAUAUUAAUAUUAUAAUACAUUAUUUUUAUUAUAAAAUUAUUAAUUAUACUAUAUUAAUACAUAUUAUUUAUAUUUAAAUAUUAUAAUAAAAUUUAUAAUAAUCUAUAUUUAAGUAUUAUAUAAUUCCUUGUAUAUUAAUUUAAGUUUAAGUAGAAUUUUUUAAAAAAUCUAUAUUUAUUAUAAUUAAUUAUUUUUGAUUAAUUUCCCCACCCGUAUUUUAUUUAAAAAUUAAAAAUUAAAAUUUUAAAUUAAAAUUAUAAUUUAUUAAUUAUAAUCUCAAAAUUAAUUUAUAAUUUUAAAUUAUAAAUUAUAAAUUAUAAUUUUAAUUUUGAUAUUUUAAUUUUGAAAUUUAAAUUUGAUAUUAAUUAUUAUUAAAUUUAAAUUUGAUCUUAAAUUUAAAGUUUGAAAUUUAAAAAUUUUAAUUUAAAUAUAAUAAAAGGAUAACAUAAUUAUUUUUUAUUUAUAAAAACCCACUAUCUUUCUUAUUCUAUCGUAUCUAGCCAAACGCUAUUUUUAUUAAUCCCAAGAAUAAGCCAAUUUUCAUCCAAACGCAAAAUUGAUCUAAUCCCCGCUUAUACCUCAAUUUAUACCUAUCUCUACAAUAGCCACUUUUUGCUUAUUCCCGAACCAAACAAUACCUAAAAUAAGUUUAGAAUAACUUUAGCGAAAUAGCAUAUCAACCCAGCUAAAAUCAGCUAAAAAUAUGUGCUUUACAGUAUUUUCGCUCUUCUUCAUCAUGGUGCCAUCUCAUUCACGUCAAAGUAAAUUAAGGCAUAAAGGGCAAAAAAAAAAAGAAAAGAAAAAAGAAACACCCAGUUUUAAAGGAAUCAAUAAAACUAAAUUUGUUCGAUUCCCCCAUGCUGAACAUUGCACGAGAAUAUGCCACAGAGCAAGCAAAAUGGGCCAUUUGUUAAAAACGAAAGAAUGGAUCGAAGUAAACAUCUUCUGCAUGUUCUUCUACAUGAGGAGCCUUUUAAACACAACAAACUCAAUUACAGGAUGCAAUAUAGUGAUUCAUGUUCCUCAUAGCGCAGAACCUUCUAGAAAAUAUGAGCGACUUUACUUGCGAGUACGCGGUCCCGCCUCUCAAUGUAUCCGUGAGGGAACCAUCCGGCUUUCCCUUUGCACUCGCCUUCCGCCCACCCAUUACUUGACACCUGUAAUCAACGUACAAUAGAACCCAAGUUAUUUACGAACUUUCUGAUAGCUUAAAGACAUCAAUUUUUGGCUCAAAAGAUUUGUGUUUCUUUUUUUUCUUCACUUUUGUUCAAAAGAUUUUUGGUCAAUUUCUCGAAUUGUGAUCAAAAGCUUGCCUAAAAAUAUAGAGUUGUCAGUUUAAAGCGCCAUCUACAGCAAGAACAAUAUUAAAAAUUGCUCUUGUAGCUAUUGUGAUCAAAAGCUUUAAAUUGACAUAUAUCAAUGCUUUAACAACUCCCUUCACGCGUUUAGAAAUAAUCCAAUAGACAAUUACAGAAACAACAAGCCCUAACUAACUUAACCAGCUUCACAAAUUAUAGAUAACAACUGACAAAAGUAAGCUUUAUCAAAGCUUGCCUGAAAAUUUUCAAUGGCAUAGAUUACACAAAAAGUUGUCUGAUAUCAUAACUCCAUUAAUGUGACGCCCUAAUAGUCCCGCAUAAGAUAGAACAGGGAUUAUAACUGCAAAUAUAGGGACCUUGAGGUCUACUACUAAUGACUGAAUUUUAAGUAUUUUAGGCACGUAUUUUGGGCUAAACUAGUUUUCAGUGCUAAUGGAUCGGAUUACUAUAUUUGGUAUUAGAACUGAUUUGUUAGCUAAAGGUGUGAGGUGGGUAUCACAUUGCCUAAUAAUCUUGGGCUAGGAAAAAAGAUUUGACGAGGACGGUAGAGUUUAAGUGGGGGGAGUCUGUGACGCCUUAAUAAUCCCACAUUGACUUGAAAAGUGAUUAUGAUUGCGAAUACAAGAACCAGUGACACUAAUACUGAUAACUAGAUUUAUGUCAUCCAAGUGGUGACUCAAGUAGAAUCGCAAGUAAAGAAAACUUACCUUCCGAACAACAAUAAUGUCACCUACUGACAAGGUAAGCUCCACAUUACUCUCGGCCUGAUACGAUUGGAUAGCCUGUGACAUAAGAAAUAAAAGGAUAUAAAGGAACAAUUACCAGUUAUCCAAUAUGUUUUUUUUUGUAAGCUCGGGAAUUGAAAGCUAAUAAUUAACUACCUCUCCUAAGAAGUACUCGGUUGAUUCAGCCAAUUCAUCAACACUUGGAGUUGCAAACAUGCCAUUAGCUUCUUCAUAUGAAGGAGGUGGUGGCAUAGAGUUUUCAAUCACUGGACUUGGAGCUGCUUCAAUUCUUUGACGCUCUGAUACCAUCUGUUAAUUGCAAAGAUAAUACGCAUAUUAAGGAAUGGAAAAAAAAAAAAAAAACUUGUAUGAACAAAUAAGAGGUAGCCAUAUCAGAUACCUCUCCUCAAGCUGAUCAAGAUUUGCAGGAUUCUCUGAUGAUAAGCUCGCUCAGAUUCAACCUUAAAGAGAAAUGGAAAUAGUUAGUAAAGACCCAUUCCAAAUUCUAGUUUAAAUUUAAAUUAUUUAUAUAUUAUCAAAAUUAGAUAAAAUUGAUUUGUUACCAUUGCAAUAAGCCGCUGCAAUGUCAAUCUUUGUUGUUGGCCUUCCACAGCAGUCAUCGCAGCAACAGCUUCUUUACCUAAUACCCCCAUGUUUGACUUUAAUUCAUGCAGCUUGGAUUCAGCAGCUUCUAGCUUUGAGAUCAAGUCACCAUUUCCUGGGGUUUCUCUUACUUUAAUUUGACGUUUUGAGACUUCAAUAGCCUGUGAGGGACAAAUAACCUAACUUGAUAGUCUGAUUCACUAAGAGUUCCAAUAGAUAAGCCCUUAAAGGGUUGACUGGUAGCAACAGGAAUCUUCUGCAUGUUAUGACAAAUCACGCAUAAAAAGUCCAGGACAAAUCCUAUAUCAUGUUUUCUGACUGAUUUUGUUGUAGCACUGUUGUUCCAUCAAAUACACUAGUUCCAGAUGGAAGCUAUCCAGCUCAACAUAUCAAAAGAUUUUAUAAAAGAAAAUUAUAAAUCAAAAUUUCAGUUUAGAGAAUCGAGAUAAUAAUUUUUCCACAGUAUGUCCUACAGACCCAUUCAUAUAAAGCUACCAGUGGGAAAGGCAACAAUGCAGGAAGCAUUUAUCUAGAAUAUACAAUAUAGUCUUUCUUUAAGGGAUUCAAGUAAGAUAACCUGAGCUUCAGCUUCCUGUCGGACUUUGUCGUAUCUCUGGGCUAGGUGGCGAGCAUCCUCCAAAGGAGCACCCAUCACCAUUGCUCUUAAUGGCUCUGCAACCUGGUGAAAUUCAAGGUGAUACCAAGGGUUAUAUGAAGCAGUAAACAUCUAUAUAGGCUAGACUAAGCUGAUAAAAUGCAAUAAAGUAAUCAUGAUUCCAUCUACAUUAGAUUUUCAAAUACAAGACAUCAACAUAUGUGGGAUCAAUCACAAAUUUUGUAAGCGACUAUCAACCCAUCCAUUUUCAAAAAAUAGCUAACACGAUAGAAUAAAAGAAGCAUGACUGUCCGAAUACUUGUUAUUUACAGUUCUCUCCCCCCCAAAAAAAAAACAAAAGAAACCCUCCCCCCACCCCCACCCCACAAGAAAACACUAGCUGUAACAAUGAAAAACUGAACAUAAGGAUUAAAAUCAAGACAAACCUAUACCUGCGUACCAAGGCUUUCAAUAGAUUUCCCCGUUCCUUUUCCAUUUGACAGCUAGCUUUUGAGAAGCAUAAAGCAGCCUUUGACAAUGUAUUACCACUGGUGCAGGUGUUUUCAGCACCAUAUUUCCGACUAUCUUCAGACAAUUUAUUUCCUAUUAAUACAGAUUUGAUGAAUAAGCAACAAGCUAUGGAUCAAGACAAAUAUAUCAACUAAUUUGUCCCUAUUUUCCCUUUCGAAGCAACAGAAAAGUUCGGAAAAACCUACAAGCAUACCUAUUUCAACUUGUUUGGACCCUGUAACAAUAUAGCCCUCAACACCCCGCACUAUGUCCCUUUGAAAAUGCUGAAAAAAAUUGAAAGAAACUUUUAGAAAAACAAACUCUAGUAGAAUCAGUCAACGGAAAUAAAAGGAUUCUUGACCUUGGCCGCACGAGUGGAUAUGUAAAGCUUUUCCAAUUUUUGGUGUUGUUGAAGUUCUCCUUCAUCAGAGAACACAUUAUCAGAACUUCCAUAUCCACCACCUCCAAAUUGCUUGAGAACAGCCUGCAACGUUAGUGAUAAAAAAAUCACCUAGAUUUCAUAUAAUUUCAAAAAUAUUUCCAAAUAGAAUAACACAAGUUUACCGCAAGAAGAAAAUCCUAUCUCCAGUAUAUAUCAACUUUUGGCCCAACAAGUGCUUCCAUGAUAGAGAUGACUAAGGCAGGGCUAGUAUUUGGCAAAAAGAAGAAGCAAAAAAUCUUACUGAUGUCAAGAGAUGACAGCUUGUUACCGCUAAGACAUUGAUAGAUAAGGUUCACAAGAUUAUUCAAGAUACAAGGUCCAAAAACAUCCACCAAAGGUGAUUUUAGCAGAUUCGUGGAACACGUUAUGAAGAGGUUAUCCAAAUUAUACUACAUACAUGUUAAAAAGAACAUGCACACCAUCAAACUACAUUUAAGUGUACUUAACCUUCCGAAACCAAGAUCAUGAUCUAAUGAAUUGACCUAAGCAAGGUUUUGAUUCCUUUUCGGCAAAAGUUUAGGUAGAGCUUAACCCGUGCUAGAUUCGCAGUUGAACAUUUUUGACAUAUUUGAAACUGCAAUAAUUCCAAUACGAAGAAUAUUUGACUAGCUUCCUGUGUCUCAUAGCAAUAUCUCUACUAUGCAAAUGCUAAUUUUGCAACUAUAUAUGGCACGACUAUACUAUAUUUUGCCAAUGCAAAACUUCUCGUGCAAAUAAACACUUUGUUGUUAAAAAGAACGAAUGUUCGGCCGAAAGGUAAUGGUUUCUUAUUUGCAAUAUAUCUCUUUGUAGCGAAAUCCAGAAACAAGAUACAGCAAAUUACAGAUACUUAACCUACCGAAUAAUCAUGUCAUAUUCAGUGAUUUUUUUUAUAUUUUUUAUUUGUAUUCACAGGCCCAAUUAUUCAAAGUGCUUAAUUAUCAUUUCGCUAUAUCAGGAAACAUACAAUAACAGCAAAUCAAAGGAAAUGAAUCUAGCCACCUACGUCAAGUCAAUUGCAUCCAAAAUUCAUGUACACUCGAAUCGGUGAUAUAACCUAUUAUAGCUUCUAUCAUUCAUGCCCUCAUAAAUAUUAGAACAAAAUUUCGCCAAGUUAUCAUCUAUUACAAUUUACAAUACCAAAUAUAAAACUUCAACCAAAAAAAUAGAUUUAAAAAACUCCUCUUUUUAGUGUACAUAAUUGAAUCCCCAUCAAGGAAACGGGGUUGGGAUGAGAAAGAGGGAGAAGGAUCGAUCCAAAACCAAAUCAAGCGCAUGGAAAGAUCGAAUCAAAGCGACAGAUCGAGGAGAUGGGACGCGAAAGGAGCACCUGCUGUUGCCGCGCGACCUGCUCUCUGAGCUUGCUCGCCUGCUUCCUAAUGGCCUCCAUGGCUCCAGCGGCGGCGGCGGAGGAGGAGGAGGAGGAGGAGGAGGAGGAGGAGGAGCCCUAGGGAGCGAGGAGAGAGGGGAAAAGGGGAGAGGGAGAAGAGGAAGAGGAAGAGGAAGAGGACGAGGAAGAGAGAGAAGGGUAAGGGGCGAGAUCUGAUGUUGUCAUGUCUUUUGUUUUUGUUCUCUUAUUUUUAUUUUCUUGUAAUUAUUUUGGGUCAAAAAAGGGAAGGGAAUUUAUUAGGGACUAAAGCUUAAUAUAUGUUGAGAUGUUGUGGUUCCUCUUUACAAUAAUAUUUUGAGGAGUAAAAUUAAAAUAUUUUUAAAAAUAAACUUUUAUUCUCAAUGUUAAAUUUAAUCUAGCCUAUUCGAACUUAUUAAGCUCUGAAGCUCAUGAUUUUCGACGUCAUUUAUCUAUUAUUAAGAUGGUUUCAAAAUUAAUUAUUUUUAAUAACUAAUAUUAGAUAAAUUUAAGACCACUUAAUUCUAUCCAAAUAAUGUUACAAAAUUAUAAAAUUCGAGUCUUAUAAAGUUUAAAUAACGUAGAUCAUGUUUAAUAAUAUUGAUUGUCGAUUUAAAUGCACCUUUGGUAGAAAUUCGAUAAAAAUAAAUACUUUCGUUUAUUUUAGAAAUAUUUCAGCUUUACUCGUACCUUGAAGUGAUAUUAUAUAAAUGUCUAAGUUAUUUUUGUAAGGCCUUUGUUUUUUUUGCAUUUCCGCUUCAAAAUAUAUGUAUAAAUAUGUAUAGCUUAUAAAAUGGAUUCAUGAAAAGUUUUAAAGUUGCAAUUUGUUGUAGUAAAUUUUUAGUUAUCAAAUUUUUUUUAAGGUUUUGAAAUGUGCAAAUUUAUUCCUGAAGAUUGAUUACUGUUAGCUAAUCAUAAAUUUUCAUAGUUAUAAUUGUUAUUUUCUUAUAAACAAUAGGCUUUUUUUUUUUAAAAAAAAAAGAUUCACGAUUUAUAAUCCACAAUUCAUGUAGAAUAAUAAUAAUAAUAAGAAAAAAUUAUUCUAAGGACAUAAUGACCAUUUUAUGUGAGAAAAAAAAAACUCAAUUUUAUUCAGUAAAUUGACCCAAAAAAAGUAUAUUUUUAAACUAUAUAACUUCAUAUUUAAUAAACAAAAUUUCGUAUGAUAAAUAUGUAAUUUUACUAUUUUGAAGGAAUACAUCAGUAAUUAAACCUUUUUUCAAUUGUAUACUCAUAGAAUUUUACAUCUAAUUCGUAAGAACAUAUUAUACUAACAUUUACAUAAAUAAUUAAUAUAUAUUAUUAUAUGAUAAAUCAGUCUUAAAAUAUGACCUGAUUGAACCGUGAAUAACUAGCUAGGAAUGAUCAACGAGUCUAAAUUAAGUUUGGUUUGCAUCUGGACCUGAUCUGGAUCCGAAUUUCGAACAACAUAGUGUCCGGAUCUUGACCCGAUUCAAAAUCAGCCGUUCGGAUUGAAGCCCACCCGGUUCAACCCGAUUUUGAGCUAAAAUUAAAAAAAAAUGAAAAAUAAAUAAAAAUCUGUAUUUAACUGGAAUCUAAAUUCAUUUUUUUAUAUUCAAAAUAAAAAUAUUAUAAUAGAGGAAAUGUUUCAUCUAUUUUUCAAAAAAAAAAGCUAUAUAUAAACAUAAAAAAUAAUUUAACAUAAUUUAAUUUUGUUAUUUUUAAAUUAUUAAUGUGAAACCAGGUCGUUGAUUCGGAUUUGUCCGUACAUGUCCGCGGCUGUUAAUCUGGAUCAAAUAAUUUAUCCGGAUCCGAUUUUCUGAUCGGAUUUUUUUGUCGAGAUCCGAUUAUGUUUCAGGUUAGACCCGGUCGGUCAAUCGGGUCGGAUCGUAUUUUGCCAACAAUAUAAAAUGUGGUGGGCUUGGGCCUGAUCAGAUUCGGCCCAUAGGCCUAACCUAAAUCCAAGCGCACAAAUACCAAGGCUUAAUCAAAGUUUUGGGCCCAAACCAAAUCUAAGUUUUGGGCCAUGUCAGUUGGGCAAGCUCACACAUUUAUUUCCAAAAAAUCGCGUUAAAAAAUAUUUCGGAUUUGGGCUCAAAUAUUUUAAAUGCUUCUGUAUAGUUCUUCACCAUGAGCAAAAAUUUUAAGUAAGAGAUAAAAAUAUUAGUUAAGCAGCCAUAGAUUACAAUAGAUUUUUACGUGAAAAACAACUUUGGAAAUUAAGCACAAAGCGAUGGCCCACAACUAGAAUUUUUUUUUUUUUUUCUUUCAUCCUCGUCCUUCCUUUCUCAGAAGAGAGAAAAACAAAGAAAUUAAUACUUGGAUCUACUAAUUUAAACAUUAAUAUAAGCACAAAUUAAAAGUAAUACAUUAAAGAUGUAUUUGUGUUGGAGUGGUGGCGCAGUUGGAUAGUGCGCGUAUGUUUGAGUUAUCCCCUGAGGUCGAGAGUUCGAGCCUCUCAAACUCCACAAUGUAAAUUAUUGGAGCUGUGAUGAUAAGUUGAUAUUUGUGAUUGGGAGGGUCCUUCACAAACGUCUGAUUCUAAGAUGACAUUUAAACACAUCUGAGCUCUAUUUUUAUUUUAUUUUAUUUUUUUUUGUCCUUUUCACUUUGAAGUUCUUUUUUUACGUGUGGGUGCUUAUACAAGUUCUUUAAUUUUUUUUUUAUUUCUUUUAAAUAAUUUUUUUGUAAGAUCGCUAGUAAUUUUAUUUCCUUUGCCUUUGUUUGGUUGGGGGUUAAGGGAUUAUUCCACCCCUUAACCCCCAUUUUAUUCCCAAACAUUCCAAAAAAUAGCUGGGGUUAGCUAAUCCCACCUCAAAUAAAUUAUCCCGGGUUAGCUAACCCCACCUAACCCCACUAAACUCCAACCAAACACUAUUUUCUAUUUAUAAUAACCCACUAUCUUUCUUAUCACACCUACUCCAACCAAUUAUUAUCCUUCUUUAUCAAUCAUUAUCUUCUUAUCCCACCUACUCCAACCAAACACUAUUUUUCAUUAUUCUAGAUUAACUCCAACCCCCAACAAAACACAAAAAAACUUUAACCCACCUUAACCCUGAACUUAACUCUAUCCCUGGAAUAGCUACUUUUUCCUUAACCCCGAACCAAACGGAGGCUUUAAAAGAUUACUAGAAUUUUUUAUGUUCGAGCCUUUGCUUGCGCUGUUAUUACUUCUUAGUAGAGUGCUGAAACUCCAGAUUUUUUGGGGUUAUACAAGUUCUUUUGGACCCGAGUUUACUCUUUCGGAUAUUCGCUUGAUUAUUCGCUUGAUUAAAUUCAGAUAGAAAAUAAAAAUACAGUUAAUCUUACUAUUAAUGCAACGACCCGACCAGCUAGCAAUAAUAACUCGUUAGGCCAAACCACCGACCCAAAAUGCUUAAGCCCAGUUAUUAUUACUAGUGUUUAAGUCUAUUAUAUAUCCAAUCAUAUCCCCAUUUCUAUCCAAUGUGGGAUUAUUGGGGUGUGACAGACUCCCUCAAUCAUAUCCCCAUUUCUAUCCAAUGUGGGAUUAUUGGGGUGGGAGUCUCUAUCCAANGAGCUGGAAGCACGGAAGGCUCCGUGCUUCCGAUAGCAUAGUAACCUCACUCAAUUAAAAGUAAUACAUUAAAGAUGUAUUUGUGGUGGAGUGGUGGCGCAGUUGGAUAGUGCGCGUAUGUUUGAGUUAUCCCCUGAGGUCGAGAGUUCGAGCCUCUCUCACUCCACAAUAUAAAUUAUUAGAGCUGUGAUGAUAAGUUGAUAUUGUGAUUGGGAGGGUCCUUCACAAACGUCUGAUUCAAAGAUGACAUUUAAACACAUCUGAGCUCUAUUUUUUUAUUUUUUUGUCCUUUAAGAUCAUUUUUUUUUUUGAGAGACAGGUAGCACGCUACCCACUUCGUUUAUUUCAUUUAGAAAUAAACUUAGCUAGAAAUAUGAAUUAACUAGGAUUCGAACUUUGGUCUCGGAUACCAACCACCAAGCUCUUUGCCACUUGCUCUAGGGACAAUCGGUUCCUUUAAGAUCACUUUGAAGUUCUUUUUUUACAUGUGGGUGCUUAUACAAGUUCUUUAUUUUUUUUUAAUUUCUUUUAAAUAAUUUUUUUGUAAGAUCGCUAGUAAUUUUAUUUCCUUUAAGAUUACUAGAAUUUUUUUAUGUUCGAGCCUUUGCUUGUGCUGUUAUUACUUAUUAGUAGAGCGCUGAAACUCCAGAUUUUUGGGGGAUAUACAAGUUCGUUUGGGCCCGAGUUUACUCUUUUGGAUAUUCGCUUGAUUAGAUUCGGAUAGAAAAUAAAAAUACAGUUAAUCUUACUAUUAAUGCAACGACCCGACCUGCUAGCAAUAAUAACUCGUUAGGCCAAACCACCGACCUAAAAUGCUUAAGCCCAGUUAUUAUUACUAGUGUCUAAGUCUAUUAUAUACCCAAUCAUAUUCCCAUUUCUAUCCAAUGUGGGAUUAUUGGGUGUGACAGACUCCCUCCAUUACUGAUGUCUUCGUCAGUCUAAUCAUAGACACAGCCCAAAAUCACCAAGCGAUGUGAGACUCGUCUCGCUAGCCUUGUCAUCCAGACCCUGGCAUAAUCGGUCAUUUUGUAGCCUAUCAUCUUGUCUUUUUGACGCUGGCUCAGCCGAGACUCAUCUCACACUUCCAGCUACCCGACGCGCUAGCAAUAAUAGCUCGUUAGGCCAAACCACCCACCCAAAAUGUUUAAGCCCAGUUAUUAUUACUAGUGUCUAAGUCUAUUAUAUACCAAAUCACAUCCCCAUUCCUAUCCAAUGUGGGAUUACCAAAUGUAACGACCCAGCCCACAUCCCUAUUCCUAUCCAAUGUGGGAUUACCAAAUAUAACGACCCAGCCUACUAGCAACAAUAACUCGUUGGGCCCAAUCACCGGCCCAAAAUGUUUAAGCCCAGUUAUUAUUAGUAGCGUGUAGGCUUCAUAUAAAUCGAUCGAAAUUAGUAUCCCACUAUUGGGGGCGUUACAAACUCCCCAUGUUUAGACCCUGACGUUCUCGUCGGGUCCAAACCAGAUCACAGACAGAUAGAUCAGGACCAUAAUUAUCAGGCGAUGUGAGAUUCUAAAGGUGGCUCCUACAGGUUCAAGAUGUGGCUCCCACCAAACCCGUUGGUGUAGCACUUUGCCCUGCAUAGGGCUUAGCUCUCACACUUCCGGCUGGUAUUCGGCUCUGAUACCAAUUGCAACGAUCCGACCCGCCAGCAAUUAUAACUCAUUGGGCCCAAACCACCAGCCCAAAAUGCUUAAGUCUAGUUAUUAUUAUUAGCGUGUAGGCCUCAUAUAAACUUAUCGGAAUCAGUAUCCCAUCCGAUAUGGGACUAUUGGGGGCGUUACAAUUAACCAUGUAGAAAUUACUAUAAACAAAAAUUUAAAAUAAUAAUUUUCUUAUUUUUAUUGGAUUAUGCCUUACCUUUUUUAACUCUGUAUUGUUCAACAAAUUUUUUGUCAGAAUAAAUGCAAAGAAGCAAGAUAAUAAACUCUGUUUGUCAACUGGACUUUACUUAUUGACAAUUUGGACCAAAAAAAAAAAAACAUGACUGAUAAUGGUGAUCACUUUUUUUUUUCCCUAAUAUGAUAUUUACCCAUUUGUUAACUUAUAGAUAUGCUUAAAAAUGUUGAAUCUCCAUGUGAAUGUAGUUGGUAUUAUUUUUUUGCUUGCUAACAAGUAACAAGUAAACAUGUAGACAUAAUAUCUAAUGAUAUCUCCUGUAUUUAUUAAUAAAAGAAUUUCUAAGAAGAAAAAUAAGGAUGAGGACAAAACUACACUUUUUGGCUUUCCUGGAAAUUGUGCAAUGCCAGUUGGAACUGAACAUUAUUAUCUCCAAAAUAAUAUGAAGAGGUGCAUCAAAUCUAAUAAUAAAAUGUGAUUUCACACAUACACUUUUCAAAUUAAAAAAAAAAUGAAAAAAUAAAAAUAAUGUUUCCCUCCUUAACAGUAGCCACAUGUCACUUUUUAAAACAAAGAGGCUAAAUAUAUUGAUGUUAAAAGCUGAUUAAUUAAUAUCAUUUUAAUUAGUCACAUCCAUAACAAAACGUAUUUUCAUAACUUCNUCUAUCCAAUGUGGGAUUAUUGGGGUGUGACAGACUCCCUCAAUCAUAUCCCCAUUUCUAUCCAAUGUGGGAUUAUUGGGGUGGGAGUCUCUAUCCAAUGUGGGAUUAUUGGGGUGUGACAGACUCCCUCCAUUAAGGUCCUGACGUCCUCGUCAGUCUAAUCAUACACACAGCCCAAAAUCAUCAAGCAAUGUGAGACUCAUUUCGCUAACCUUGUCACCCAGACCCUAGCAUAACCGGUCAUCUUGUAGCCUAUCACCUUGUCUUUCUGACGCUGCCUCAGCCGAGACUCAUCUCAUACUUCCAGCUAGUGAUCCGGCUCUGAUACCAAAUUGCAACGACCCGACCCGCUAGCAAUAAUAACACGUUAGGCCAAACCACCGACCCAAAAUGUUUAAGCCUAGUUAUUAUUACUAGUGUCUAAGUCUAUUAUAUACUAAAUCACAUCCCCAUUCCUAUCCAAUGUGGGAUUACCAAAUGUAACGACCCAACCCACUAGCAACAAUAACUCGUUGGGCCCAACCACCGGCCCAAAAUGCUUAAGCCCAGUUAUUAUUAGUAGCGUGUAGGCUUCAUAUCCCACCCGAUGUGGGACUAUUGGGGGCGUUACUAACUCCCCAUGUUUAGACCCUGACAUCCUCGUCGGGUCCAAACCAGAUCACAAGCAGACAGAUCAGAACCAUAAUUAUCAGGCAAUGUGAGAUUCUAAAGAUGGCUCCUACGGGUUGAAGAGGUGGCUCCCACCAAAUCUGUUGGUGUAGCACUUUGCCCUGCAUAAGGCUUAGCUCUCACACUUCCGGCUGGUAUUCAGCUCUGAUACCAAUUGCAACGAUCCGAUCCGCCAACAAUAAUAACUCGUUGGGCCCAAACCACCAGCCCAAAAUGCUUAAGCCUAGUUAUUAUUACUAGCGUGUAGGCCUUAUAUAAACUUAUCGGAAUCAGUAUCUCAUCCGAUAUGGGACUAUUGGGGGCGUUACAAUUAACCAUGUAGAAAUUACUAUAAACAAAAAUUUAAAAAUAAUAAUUUUCUUAUUUUUAUUGGAUUAUGCCUUACCUUUUUUAUUUGAACUCUGUAUUGUUCAACAAAUUUUUUGUCAGAAUAAAUGCAAAGAAGCAAGAUAAUAAACUAUGUUUGUCAACUGGACUUUACUUAUUGACAAUUUGGACCAAAAAAAAAAAAACAUGACUGAUAAUGGUGAUCACUUUUUUUUUUCCCUAAUAUGAUAUUUACCCAUUUGUUAACUUAUAGAUAUGCUUAAAAAUGUUGAAUCUCCAUGUGAAUGUAGUUGGUAUUAUUUUUUUGCUUGCUAACAAGUAACAAGUAAACAUGUAGACAUAAUAUCUAAUGAUAUCUCCUGUAUUUAUUAAUAAAAGAAUUUCUAAGAAGAAAAAUAAGGAUGAGGACAAAACUACACUUUUUGGCUUUCCUGGAAAUUGUGCAAUGCCAGUUGGAACUGAACAUUAUUAUCUCCAAAAUAAUAUGAAGAGGUGCAUCAAAUCUAAUAAUAAAAUGUGAUUUCACACAUACACUUUUCAAAUUAAAAAAAAAAUGAAAAAAUAAAAAUAAUGUUUCCCUCCUUAACAGUAGCCACAUGUCACUUUUUAAAACAAAGAGGCUAAAUAUAUUGAUGUUAAAAGCUGAUUAAUUAAUAUCAUUUUAAUUAGUCACAUCCAUAACAAAACGUAUUUUCAUAACUUCUUACUUUUUUACAAAUAAGAAAUUUUAAAAAUUAUAGAAAUUUAGUUAUCAUUAAAUAAGAGCAUAUAUACAGAGAAUAGGAGGUGAUAGAAUUCAUCGCACUAUGCUAGAAAAGCUAUUUAUAUCUAAAAGUUUAAACAAUCAGAAAAUAAUAUUUUAAUGUAACAUUUUCAACAGCUUUGAGGAUUUAUGAAAAUGAGUUAACAAGCUACACGACAUUGGCCCGUUUGUUUUGGUGUAAGUGUGAGUGAUGGAACUCAAGUUCCAUCACUUCUGUUAUUUGUUUUGAUGUAAGUGAAAAAUAUAAUGUAACUAAAGUUACGUUAAAGCUCUACUUCACCUAUUCUCGACUUCCUCCUCUAAAGUGCCGAACUCGACUUUCACUAUACUCAACCUUCUCUAAAAAAUUUAUUAAACAGUAAAAUCUAAACUCUACUUCCUUUCUAAUGGGUUAGAAUUAUCUUAUUUAUAAUAAAUUAGGAUUAUCUUUAAAUAAUAAUAAAAAAAAUUAAUUAUAUAAUAAAUUAAAUUUUAUAGUGGUAAAUUUACUACUAUAUUUAGGAGAUAAUGAGAUCCACUUACUUACAUCAAAACAAACAACGGAACUCAAAAAACUAAUUUUACCAGCACCAAGUUACAUCAAAACAAACAACAUAAGUGAUUGAAUUUAACUUUCAGGCGGUACGAGAUACGUCAAAACAAACAACGAAAAAAUAAUCACACUUCAGG